UUUUUUUUUGUGUUUCUUUUCUGUUUUAUUUUAGUUACAUUUUAUUUUAGUUUUAUAAAAUGCCAAGUGAGUACCUAAAUUAGUAUUACUAAUUAGUCCACUGCCACAAUUAACUUGGCACCUAAGAUAAAAUAUUUUGUAAUUGUUUAGUAUUUAAAGUAUUUAAAUAAUAGUUUUGCUACUGUUUUAUUACCAUUUGAAUAUUUGAACAUUUUAUAAAAGUGUGGUUCUCCACCAUAAUUACCUACGCAUUAUUUGGCACAACCCGAACAUUUUAGUUUUAAAAUUUGAAAACUUUUGUUGAUUGCCUUUUAUUCAAUUUUGAAUUUGAAUUGGUUUUUGAACUAAUGCGGGAUUAACUACAGUGACAGAGGUGACGUGGCAUCAAUAGCUGGGAAUUACUGUAGUCUAAUUGCUACUGUUUCAUAACUAGGUUCCAAUUAGGCCCGGCCAAUUUUUUUGCCUUAGUUGUGAAGUCACACUCAAAUUGCAACUCGGACCAACCAUUUUUUCCUCCCUUACUUGCAAGUCCUCCCUUGAGUCACAACUGGACCGAAGGUUUUAUUUGCCCACUCAACCUGGAACGUCUAUCUUUCUACUUGAGCAAAUAACUUGCUAGUUGGUUUUGUUCUUUUUCAAUGCUAAACAUAAUUACACAUGUGUAUGAGUUUUUUUGUUCUCUCCAAGAGAAAACAAAAACCUUAGAAUGUAUAUUUGACACAAAAACAAAAUAGUAUGUAGUUUUUUUCUCCCUGCUCUCUGUCACAUUUUUUGAUUUUCUAUUCUGCAAACCUAAACAUUUGAAUUUUCCAUCACCCUAAGGCGUAUUUUCCGUUUUUCGAAUUUGCCGUAAACAUUUUUUGAGUCCAUGAAAAUUUUUUCAUAUAUGUUUUUCUGGAUUCAUGACCAUUUUUGGAAUUUUAUGAACAUUUUUCUAAUUUCUGAACAAUUUACGAAUACGUGAGCAUGUAUCAAAUUCGUAAACAUUUUUUGAAUUUGCUGCUAACACGUUUUGAAUUUGUGAAAAAAAUUCGAAUUCCAAACAAUUUUAAAACCACAAACAUUUUGAAUACAUGAUUUUUUUGGUUUUCUGACUAGUUUUUAUUUUUCUCUUCUAUAUUAUUUAUUUAUUUUUUAGAAAUUUCCGCAUGUGUUUCAAAAAAUUCAGUGUAUAUUGCUAAAAGGUUUAUUGGAACAGAAGUUCACUGUAUAUAAAAAAGUUCAAUGUAUGUUAAAAAAAGUUAGUCAUACUUCAAUUUUUUUUCAGUGUGUAUUUGAAAAAAAUGUCAUCCUAUAUGUGUGUUUAAAAAAAUUCACCGUGUAUGAAAAAAUAUUCGGUGUGUAUUUAACAAAUGAGCAACAUAUAUUAGAACAAUGUUUAUAAUAAAGAAAACCAUACAAAAGAUUACACAAUUGGAAGAAAACCAGAAGAAAAACUAAACCUGAAAAAGAAAAAAUAAUACAAAUUGUACUACUACGUGCGCUAGGCUACAGGCGGUAGCGGCUAGGCCCAUUGGAGCACACUGUGGCUAACUGUACUUUUAGUUAGGCUGGGCUUGGACCCCAAAAGAAAACAAGAAAAAGGCCACAAACAGGUGAUGCCAUGAAACAUAGUUAUGUCACAUUUCCCUCAAAAAAAAACAUAGUUAUGUCACAUCCUAGACGCACUCUUUUCUAUUUCAGUCAAAAAAAGCUGACACGCAAUAGGUCACGACUCAAACUCUUUUCUAAAUGUGAAAACUUUCUUCUCAAUUAUCUGUUUUCGAUUCCGUUUGCACCAAGGUUUUGGAUCCCAAGUGGACUUUUUUUCUCGCGGGGCAGCGGAAUUCUCGGUUACCACGGUAACCAGGAAAUACCGGAAAAAUUUCGUACCGAGUUUAAAAUUUGAAUUGAAAUUUAGUUUUUUUUUUAUCAUGCUAUAUGUUGUUUCGGUCCUACAGACCCCUUUUCCUGCCUUGAGAUCAAGGUGUCGAAUCCCGCCGUGGCCUUAGUUUUAUUGCCCGUCUCCCUUUUUACACUGAAAAAGGGUGCAAAAAAGUGAAUACACAAGACUCGAACCCGCGACCGCACUAAUCGAUGGGGAAGCACACGCAAACCGGUAGGCCACUCUGCCCAUGCGUCUUUACAGAGUUCCUGCCUUAUUUAACCCGACUCUGAAUGUUUAUAUUCAAAAUGCUGCGAAUUUUUUUGGUCGGUACAUAGAUUUCUCGUGGGGUAACGAGAAACUCGGUAACCGCCCGGUAUCCGAAUUUUUCGCUCGGUACCCAAAACCAUGGUUUGCACUGCUACGUUUCUUACGACGAGAUCUACAAAACUACUUCCUCCGUUUCUAAAUAUAAGUCUUUAUAGAUAUUCCACUACAAACUACAUACGGAUAUAUAUAGACAUAUUUUAGAGUGUAGAUUCACUUAUUUUGCUCUGUAUGUAGUCCAUACUGAAAUCUCUAUAAAGACUUACAUUUAGGAACGGAGGGAGUAGAUGCAUACGCUAUGAUAUAUUUUUGGAUUGCGAUAACGUGUGAUCGUUCGGUAUACUGGGACAGAUCCGAAUGAUUGAUUAAUUUUCUUCUUCUUUCUUAGCUAAUCAAGCAUCCAAUCACGUUCUUACUAGAUACUGGGACAGAUCCUCCAGCGCGUCACGCAUCACCUCGUCCUUCAUCGUCUCCGUCAUCCCGUCAAGCUUCCUGAGGAGAGCGCUGACCCUGGCAACGCACCUCUGGAUGUCGUGGCACUCCUUCUCGUUCUGCUUAACCGUCUCCACGACCUCCUUGAUCUUGAGUGCGAUUUCAACGAUCUUCCCCACACUGCCCAAUGCAAUGUGUCAGCCAUCUUACAUUCUUACUCUUGCACGGUUGACUGCAACAACAAUAAUCUUCAAGACUAUGUGAAGGAAAGGCAUCAGAUGCUGAUCUUAUGAGCUGAUGAUAUGGACAAACCAUUCUCGUAUUGUCAUAUUUUCAUCAUAAGAAUCAAAUUAACUAGUCAAACAGGCACUGAGCUUAUUUCCUCUUUGCCUUCGCUUCGCACCUCUACCUCCUUUGAGCAGGCAGAGGAAGCGAUACCUGCCUGGUCUGCUAGCUAUCCGCUCAGUCAGCACCCCGAAGUCUGCUCCGAUCGACCCACACACUAUAUUAGUCGAACAAUUUAUGUCGUUAGUCGAAGAAGGAAUCAGUGAAGACACGUGUUAAUGACAUAUUACUAAGGCUGGCUGUCAGACCGUGACAACAGUUUUGAAAUAAAACUAGGAUUACUGAGUCUCCGGUCUUCACAUAGAGAAGAAGGAAAAACAAAGCAGAUCGAUCUGAAUGUUCAGCAGAACACAGUUUCAUAGGGCACAUGCAUGAAAAAAUGGCCCUGAUUAAUUUUGGCUGCAGAUAUGAUGGUGCGAUGCUACAAGCCUACAACUACAACAUGAUAUAGCUCUACUAUGAGAAACUAAAAUUUUCUGCAACUAAUACAUGCAAAUUAACAUUUCAAAUGAUCCUGACAAAGAGUGGUCAUCCUAGGUUAUUUUUGUUUUGGCAAACAUAAUCAUAGGAUAUCUUCUUUGGUUUCUCAACGACCAGCUCGUUCAGUCAAGCAAAGAAAUGCAGUGAAGACAAGCAACAGCAUCCAGCUGGAAGGGAAAGGAGGUGGAUACAUAUAUGGCUAUAUGCACAUGGGAUGGGACGUAUAAUAUUGGAAGCAGAGACCGAGAUCGAGUUGACCUGAGCCACCUGGUAGCUAUCGAGAGCAGCGCCUGUUUUGAUCAUCAGUGCACAAUAAUUGGACAGGGGAAGCGUUUCUGAAGGGAAAGUGACCCUCUUUUCACCAUGACUUUUGUAAGCAAGCAGGCAAUGACCUGCAGACAAAUCAAUCAGUUUCUUUGGCAAUGACUAAAGAAAAUAGCAGACUUGGCAAUAAUGUUAACCAUUUGGCCUGACCCUCGGUGAUAUCCAUCAGCCUUUGUCCACCUCGAGUUGUGGCCUGGGUAAACAGCAGCCAAUCAUCGGCAAAUAACAAAUGGGAAAUCCAUGGUGUGUGGAUCCCCACUCUGAUUCCCUUCACAAAAUAGUGAGGACCUGUGUACUUGAGGAGAGAUGACAGGCCUUCAGGAGACAUCGGAUCACCUUGAUGAAUUCCACGUGACGGAGAGAAAACCUCCGAGAGAUGUCCAUUCACCCUCACAGGGAGCUUCACUGAUUCGACACACACCAAAACCUCCUGAAAACCCAACUUGAGCAUGAUACUUCCGAGAUACGGCCACUCGACCCGGUCAUAUGCCUUCACCAUACCAAGCUUGACGCCCCAUUUUGCCCUUCUUUCUCGUAGUGAAUACACUCAUAAGCAAUCAGCACGUUAUCGGUGAUCAACCGAUCAGGGACAAAAGUCGAUUCCUCUUGUAAGAUGAUGUCAUUCUAAGAAUAGUAAAGUUCCAGGCAUCAUUUUUACUUUAUUCUGUUUUUUCUCCCAAUUUCCAUUUGAAGCUGCAAAUUUCGUUCUGCAUCUGUGUAGAGCAAUGUUUUAAAUAGCGGGCUAUGGAAAAUAGCGGCAGGCCUCCAAAUCAGUUAUAGCGGAGCUAUAGCGGGCUAUUUGUGAAGGCGACCAUUUAGCGGCAUCCUGUUGAAGCUAUAGCCGGCUAUUUAAAACUGUGUUAUAGAGUGUAAGCCAGAGGUAGGAAAUACCAUUUGCACCACUGAACAAAUUGGGACGAAUGAUUAUGUAGGCGAAUGGAAUGUCAAGGCACCUUGUGUUGUGGAUACAGAUGAUCACUGGGCCAAGGAUAAACCCUGACGGUGGCACAAUAUCGCUCAGCACUGUGGUAGGACUCCGUGUUUUCAAAUUCAUAUCAUUCUUAAUUACUCUGUCAAGAUUUUAUAAGUUAGUUACUCCCCCGUUUCUAAAUAUAAGUCUUUUAAAAGAUUUCACUAUAGACUACUCUCUAUGUCCCAUAAUAUAAGAGUGUUUUUGACACUAAUAUAAGAGCGAAACGCUCUUAUAUUAUGGGACGGAGAGAGUACAUACCAAGCAAAAUAAGUGAACUUAUACUCUAAAAGGCGUAUAUAUACAUCUGAAUGUAGUCUUUAUAGUGGAAUCUCUAGAAAGACAUAUAUAUUUAGGAACGGAGGGAGUAGAAAGUAAUGCAUGUAGUCUUGAACAGAUCAAAAGAUGAAAUAGUGCAUUGUAUGAGCUAUUUAUCUAUGAACUCAAUACACUCUUACUUAAUUUAACUAUAUGUCAUUCUUGUAAAUAUAAACAUGAAAUCUUACAUUCUUAAAGAAUGGCCUGACGGGCCAUCUGUGGCUCCAGAGUUGUACAUCUUUCUUGCAAUCAGCCCACAGUUGCGAGUGGGAGGGGGCUGAUUGGUUGAAAACAACAUUGUUGCGGUGCUUCCAUAGAUGCCAGCAAAACACAAGGAUGAAACCCUGAAAGUGCUUCAUGGCUUGUGUUGUCGGAUGGGGAACACCCCAUACAGCGGAGGUGCUGCAUCCUUGGACGUUGAUGCCUAGAGCGGACCAAGCUUGGGUUGCCAAGGGGUAGGGGAAGAUGAUGUGAUAGCAGUCCUCCACGGCAGCAUGGCAGAGUUCGCACUCGACAUCAUGGAGGACAUUCUUCUUCAAGAGGUUGGCUCUGCACUGGAUGCGUUGCUGCACCAGGAGCCACCCAGAGAAGUUGUAGAAAGCGCACAGAGGGGAUCCAGUAGCAGAGAGGAGCUGUUUGUGACCGGACCUGGAUGCGUUGCCUAACCUGUUAACUUGGUCUGCUUAGUGCCGACGGAGAUUCAAGAACUCAGCAUUGUUGCAACACAUGGUAGACAGUUUAAGCAUGCCGAAAUGGUUACUCCUUCGAACUGCUUGCUCCAUAUUGUUCAUACAGUCAUCACUGAUCGCUCCUGCUCUGAACUAUGUGUCUCCACCAUAAAGUUUUCAGCUCACAUGGUAUCUCUGCUUUCAACAACCAUAAGAAAGGUGAGUCCUCUUUUAAAGCAUCAAAAACUGUCCCCGCGUCGUCCGCCUGGGCGACUCGGGCGGCGACCCGAUCCAUUUUCCUCGGCAGUUCCUCGUGCUUCCUUCCCUCGCCGGCGCGGCUGACGGCGGCGGCGGGGCUCCAUCCCCGUCGCAAUUUAGGCAACACUUGACGAGGUGCAGCGGCGGUUUGGAUGCUGUGAAGGCGGAAGUUGAAGCGGCGGCGACGGCGCUACAUGUGGGGUUCAAUCUGACGUUUGCAUGGCUGUUGGGUGGCCAGAUCGGAUGCAAGUUGCCGCCAUUCAUGGAUGCCAUGUUUACCAAUGGAGUGAGCCUCGCGGUGCCGUCAAUUCCUCGGCAGAAGCACGAGAUCCAUUCCUCUUUUCCCAGGAAAGAGUGGAGAUCUGCUCGCACUGGUCCGAACAACCGCCUGCUCUGCUGCAUGAUUGGGAAGUGGAGAUCCAUCCUGAGAAUGUGCAGCAUGCUCAUGCCAUGCCGAUGCUCCUGGAGUGGCUCUUUGGCGUUGCGGCGCGGCAGGUUGAGGCGGUGGCUCGAGCGCAGUUGUUGCUGUCGUCGCCCGCAUCUCUUGGAGGGAGGGAAGGCGUGGUCAUGGUGGUCUUCUGCUUGGGCUCGGGCGCUAGGUCAGGUGGCGCCAUGAAUCUGCCGAACAUGCUGCCGGGCGGUCAUCGGCCACGGUGGUCACCUGAGAGGAUUAAACUUGUAUGAUCUACGUCCAUAGGUGAGGACGACAAGAUAGUGGCUGCGAGUGGUGCUGUCGUCUUAUGCAGAUCAGCCUUGGCUGCCACUUGUGAGGAUCAAGGUUUUGGUUACUGGUUGAAAUUUCGAGAUUUCCCAUGGUUACCGCGUAUUUCCGUGCCCCUCGGUAAAUCCCCAUACCAAGCAAAAAAUACCAGUUUUUAUUUUUUUUAAUUUAAACGAUCGAUUUAUAGUAAAGUACGUAGGAUCUAAUUAAUGUCAUGAGAGUUAGUUCUAACGUAUUGGUAGCAACCUAGUUCCUGUUUUAAGAGGUCUCUGGUUCGAAUGUUCAUUCAUUCACUCAUUUGAAUUCAAAAUUCAACUAUAAAAUUCGUUCGAAAUAUUCUCGGUAUUUCUCAGUAACCGUGGUAUCCACGUUUACCAGUCCCCCUCGGUAAAAUUGCCUCAUUCGGUAACCAAAACCUUGGUGAGGACGGUGCAGGCCUCCAGAGCGUCCCAAACUUGGGAUUUGGUGGUGCCACUGUCCUUUCUCCUUGCCGGGACUUCUUCGGGUGGUAGCGAGUACCUCUUCUCGAGUCUCGUCAGCCUACCUGUAUGGGCGUGGUCAUUGCUUGUCGUAAGGACCAUGCACGUAUGCAACUAUUGGGACCGAGGCAAGUGGAGGAGAGAACACUAUUUGACUUCGAUUGGGCGGUAUUUCUCGAGUACUCAGUCUUGAGCUCCGGGGUGAAAACUCUGGUCUGACCCUCAUUGAUUAGACCUGGCAAUGGCGGCAUUCUUUGCGUCGUUACCCUGAUGAUGGCAUUGCUCGGAUUUUGCUCGGAUUUGAUCUUUAGGGUGAAAACCAUGAUCUGACCUUUGGUGGUUGGAUCCAGCGAUGGCGACACAUUUACGUCAUUCCCUUUUUGGAGGCAUCGCUUUUGGAGAACCCUUCUCGUCAGUGGCGGAGCCAGGAUUGGCUGACGCCCCAAGCAAGAAACAAAGGGCUAGAAACUACCCCAAAAAAAACACCAGUUUCAAGGCAUACAAAAUCAAUCUGUGUUCCAUAAAUAAUAAGAAACCAAACAUAAUAUUCGAUUGCAGCAUUUGUUCCAUGAUGGGUCAAGUAAUAAAGCAAGACAAAUCAAAAGACAAUAUCUAGCAUAUAUAGAUGAUACAAAGAUUGGUACCAAAUUAAAGGAUUGGUUGAUCUGAGCCUCCCAUGACUACAUCUUCAAUAGCAAAAGAAGCUAAACCUUCAAUGAUAAAUUUUUAAAAGGCAAAUCAGUGCAUAAUGUAGCCUUUAUCGGAAAAGUGCAUAGUGUAGUAGGUAAAACUAUUUAAUAACAGAUGCAAAAUGUGAAAACUUGUGUGCGUAUCACUUAUAAUUCCAUAUUCAUGGCAAGAUGACAAGGUCAUUGCAAUUCAUCAAUGUCUUGUUUCUUUCACUCAUCAUGCCUUCCUGUAACAAUAGAAACAGCGCAAGUCAUACCGAAUUUCCGAACAAUUGCAAAAUUUAUUUCAGUUAACAAUGUAUUGCUCUAAUCUAGCAGCAAAACAAGCUCUGCGGUGGCAAAUUGGCAAUGUACUAAUGAGAUCACUGCAAUUAAUAAUGCAGGAAAGAUCACACCCGGGCUCAUAAAACAAAAGCAGUGAACUUUAUAGUGCAACCAUAAUACAGAAAUACUAGUCUGAUUAACCACCACACAAGCAUCAGAAGUUCAGAACAGAGCUCCACCGAACAGAGCUAUACAUCGAAGAGAACUAGGAAGGGAUACAUUUGCUCUUGCUCUGUUGUCUGCUCUGUGCUGCGGCUCGCCGGAUGCCGGGCAGCACGCCUCCUCGCCGGGGUCGCCGCCUCGUCGGACAGAGCAGCAGCCCGCAGCGGCGCAACCUGAUUGGGUGAUGCCGCAGAAGGGGAUUGAAGGGGAUGGAACAGACCGACUGGGUAGGCACGACGGUAGGCAGCGGCGGGCGGUGCCGGCGGGCAGGGAUGCAGGUCACGCAGCCACCUGAAGUCUAGGGUUCGUCCAAGUCGGGGGAACGGCCGACUGGUUGGUUCGGGUUCGUCCAAGUCGAUGCACAGGCAGGUAGAGGCCGACAGACAACGAACGAGAUGGGCCUCACGCCUCAGGCCGCCUUCGUUUUGCUACAGUGUACAAACGAGAUGGGCCUCACACCCCAGCCAGCCGCCCGGGCUGCCUGGGGCUGUCUCCGCCCAUGCUUCUCGUAGUCUUUGUGUUGUCAAGAGAUGGUUGACGCUGAUGGUCACUGCUAUAUUUCGUCAAUUGUUGUUUUCAUUUUAUUUUUCUCUCCGUGUAGGCAUAGUUUUGGUCUUGUAUGACUUUGCUUUUUGCCGGCGUGAUCAUUUUGUGUGUGUAUACAUCCUAGUUAUGCAGAGGUUGGGUGUGUAUUCAUUAUGAUUGUAUCCCUCGAUUCUACAUUAUGAGUCAAAUAAAGACACCCUUUAUCAAAAAUAAGAAAGGUGAGUCAUUUUACAAUGCAAGGGGUCUGUCCUAAAAAAAUCUGUGAAGCUAAGAAUUCAAAUCACAAUUGAUUUUUCCUUACUCUCCUCUUGAUUCAUGAAACCAGAUUGCUGGUUGGAUUGUCGUUUGAUGAUUUACACACGAGCUGGAGUCGCUCAUGGUGGACGCCUGCUGCAGGGGUGGAGAAGCCGAUCUGAAGAAGGGAGGAGAAACAGUGGAGGCCCAAAGAGCGCCGGCGGUGGUGGCACGAUCCGAGACGCACGGCGGCGCUGACAGCAGAGGUCGCCUCGACUGAUUAUUUGCACAAGCCCCCGACACAUUUGUAUUGUUCGGCCGUGUAUCUUGUUCGGUUGUGGCUUUAUUUAUAAAGCAGGACGAAAACCUGUUUCGAAAGAAAGAUAGCCCCGACACAUUUGCCACUAAGCCCCUAAUUUGGAUCGAAAUUAAUAGUCGCGAUCCAAAUAUUUAUAAUUAGGACCCUGGAUUUUGCUUAUAGAACCCUGGUUGGGGUCCGCUCCUCCUCCCGCCCGUCCGCCGGGAGCGCAGAGCCCGAACCCGUCCACCAUUCACUGCUGGAGACCUAGCAUCAGCAAGCUCCCCAUAAAUUGCAGCGCAACAGCUCGUCGGCAGGCGAGGAGCCCCGUGGCCAGGGCGGCAGUCGCGUGGCGUCCCGGAGCUGCCUGCGGCCGUUGUCAGGCCCGGAUGUUCGCCGAGGCCGGAAGCCGGCCGGUGCUUCUCCUGCAGGUGCAGACGGUGCUCUUCCCUGUUUGCAAUUAGUGAUGGAUAGGACGAGAGCCGGCCGGUCCUUGCAUCUCAAACAGUCGAGCAGGCACGGCUGAGCAUGAAAUAUUUUCAGGCGUCGUGCUUAAUUUGGAAGAUGUGUAAGUCGAGGAGUAGCUGAUAAGCUCGGUCUCAUUGGAAAUCUGAACUUGCGAGGAUCAGGCAUUGCCAACCUAUACAUAAGCGGCAGCAAGCCACACAAUGUCAGAGCAGACGGUGUGAAGCCUUAUGUUCUCACACAUCUCAGACGACCAUAAGGUGUUCGUGUAAAUGCUUCUGAACUCGGCCGCUCCUUUGCUUCCGAAGACUGAAGCAUUAGAAGGGUGUCACGCUUUCAGGUGCCUUGCUCAAUUUGAAUGAUAUCAUUGAGGAAGCCACCACCUCUUUUGCAUAACCCGGUCUCAUUGGGAUUCCAAACCGACAAGGAUCACACAAUGUCACACCGAAUCGCUGAAAAAUCUGGGACAGGAUUGCAUUGCCUGGCUAAUGGCUACACGCACAUUUUCCUCCCCGGUGGAUUGCUUGAUCAUUCUUUACCUGAUUUCAGUUAUUCCCAAUUUCUAUAUUGGAGGUGUAAAUUUCAUUCUGCAUCUGUGUAAAGCGUAAGUCGGAAUAAGCAAAUACCAUAUGCAUCACUGAACAAUUGGGACUGAAUGAUCAUGCCUGCAAGCAGCUUCUUCUGUGAGUCGCCGCGGCGGAGCCAGGAAACCCCCCUUUUUUUCAAGGAUAAACCCUCACAGACGGAGGCACAAUAUUGCUCAGCACUGUCCUAGGACUCCGUAUUUUGAAGUUCAUAACAUUCUUAAUUAUAUUCAAAUCACAACACAAUGUUUGUUGAGUGUCUUGCAUUCAGAGCUUUAGACAUGAUGAGUACUCUGCAUAUUAUGAUGAUACAUAUGACCGCACCACAAGAUAUCGUUUACGAUAUUUUGUAAAAACUUGCAUAUUAAUUCCAUCGUUACUAACUAAAUAAUUAUUGUUUUAAAUGGAACCUCUUGUUGAUGGUGACCUUCUUCUUCUCACCAGUGUUUUUGUCCUUGGCAGAGACAUCCAGGAUACCGUUGGCAUCAAUGUCGAAGCACACAAUUAUUUGUGGAACGCCUUUGGAUGCUGGAGGAAUGGAGAACUCAAACUCGCCCAACAGGUUAUUGUCGCAAGUCUUGGCACCUUCACCCUCGUAAACCUGGAUACGGAUACAAGGUUGGUUGUCAUAGUCGGUAGAUAUGACUAUCUCCGUCUUGACGGGGAUCGCCCUGUUCUUUGGAAUCAUCACUGUCAUGUCGCCCCCUUUCGUCCCCAAACCAAGAGAAAGUGGGGUAGCAUCCAACAAAAGGAGGUCGCUCAUCCAACCCUCAUUGUCGUUGUUCGGUCCGGUCAAAAGGGCAGCCUGUAAAGCAGCACCAUAGGCAACAGCUUCGUCAGGGUUGAUGCUCUUAUAAAGCUCCUUCCCGUUGAAGAGCUCCUGAAGAAGCUGCUGAAUCUUUGGAAUUCUAGAGGAGCCACCAAUAAGAACAACAGCAUGAACUGAGCUCAUGUCCAUGCGAGCAUCCCUGAGGCAGUCCUCCACAAUGUCCAUACACUUCCUGAAGAGAUCCAUGUUGAGCUCCUCAAACCUGGCACGGGUGAUGGUUGAGUAGAAGUCGAUGUCCUCAUACAAACAACUGAUCUCAAUGACGGCCUCUUCAGUGGAGGAGAGGGUUCUCUUCGCCCUCUCGCAGGCUGUCCUCAGUCUCCUAAGAGCCCUGGGGUUGCCACUGAUGUCCUUUUUCUUCUUUCUUUUAAACUCUUGGACGAAGUGGUUCACCAUGCGGUUGUCAAAGUCCUCACCACCAAGGUGAGGGUCGCCAGCUGUGGCCAGGACCUCAAAAAUAUAAAACUCGAUCUCGACAAGGGAGACAUCAAAGGUACCACCUCCAAGGUCAAAGACGAGAGCAUUCUCUACCACACCCCACUCGGUAACCUUGUUGUGAAGGCCAUAAGCCAUAGCAGCAGCAGUCGGCUCAGGGAUGAUACGCAUUACAUUCAGACUAGCAAGCACUCCUGCAUUCCAGGUGGCCUGCCGCUGCAAGUCGGUGGAGCAAGCAGGAACAGUGACAACAGCAUUCUUGAUGGUGCUGCCAAGGUAGGCUUCAGCUGUCUCCCGCAUCCUGACGAGAACCAUUGAGGAAAUCUCUUCAGCUGCGAAUUGCUGCUCCACACCCUUGUAUUUAACAGCAAUCAUAGGCUUGUCUUCAGGUCCAGAAAUGACCUUGAAGGGCCAGUGCUUAAUGUCAUUCUGUACAGAAGCAUCAGUAAAUCUCCUACCAAUGAGCCGCUUGGAAUCUGCAGCAAGUAUUUGACGUCAGUAACUGCAUGCACUAAUUUUACUAAGGAAUGGUGCUUGAAGUAAAUAUAAAACAUCACCAAUACAAAUUAAUCACCCAAACUUGAAUAGAGGGCAAGAUAAAUUAUUUUCCGGUGCAAGCAAUAAUAACUUCCUGCAACCCGAGUGCAUUAUAUUUUCUAUAGGACGCAACGACGUUCUAUAAACGGCAGUAGGUAACAUUUAGCAAACACUGUCAUGCAGACGAAAAAAACUUUAAAAAAAUUGUAAAGAACUUAGAGAAUCAUCUUGCAUUUAAAACCGACCUUAACGAAAUAUUAGGCCUCGCGUUUGUUCCAACCCAGAGCCCAAAAAUAAAGCGCCAAGCAGGCAGGUUACACCGAAUUACUAACUAGGAAAGCUAGGGCUAUAUAGUAACAGAAGGUUCAUUUAGCAGCAAGCUGUGCCCCUUGUUAUUUUUUUUAGAGAAAAGACUAGACCGAGCGCAAGAUAGGGCUUGAACCUAAUGGCGGGCUAGGGGCCUCAACCCUUGCCACGAGAAGGCAAGAUCCAGCAUCCAAACCGUCUCCGAGGACAGCUCCCGCACCAGAUCCGGCGGGAGGAGCAAUGGCGGGGGCACGCCAGUGGGAACCACCAGUCCCAGGCUCCGCGGCACCCACACGCUGGGGAAGAGGGCAGGAGCAAGGGGGCGGACUGGGCGCGGGAGGAGGGCGAACUCCAGCCUAGCUGGGCGCGAGGGGAAGCCCCUCCGCCACCAACCGCAAUCUCCCCUUGUUAUUUGCCAUACUCAUAGCCACAGAAGAAGCCUUUUUUCAAAGAAUACUCUGUUCAUCAUCAAGGUAAAACAGAUUGAUGGCCGAACAGUAGUCAAGGGAUGAAUGGUACUAGUGGUGUAGCAAAAAGGACGCACUGAUGUUAAAGGAAAAAACAUAAGGCCACUCAAAAGCAUACCCACAACAAUUGUAAAGUCAAGUAACCAUGCUAUGAGCCCGCGAUACAGAAUUAUUCAGACUGAGAUAUCCAGUCUAAGUUGCCAAAGCGAGACCAAAGACACGAACGUCACAUUUUGUUGUCUGGCUCCCCGCUCCACGCCGCGUCUGCGCCGCUAGCCACUCCGGCUCCGACGGCCACCUCUCUCGGCCGGCAUGGCGAGCCGUGUGCAGCUCUCUGGCUCCCCGUCCGGCAGUUUGAGCCCUCCCACUACCUUGGGCUCGUCUCCCCACCCCCCACCCCGGUUGCGCUCCCUCAUCGUCGUCCCACCGGCACCGCGGGCCGACCCGGCGCCACCUUCGGGUGGGGCGCCAUGGCAGCAGGUCCGGGGCCGGAAGGAGCAUCGGCCACCUGGCCCUCGUCUCAGGCUGGCAAGCUUGCUCUUCUCCCGCCCACCGCGCUCAGCUCUGCUCGCGUCGCUCCAUGGCUGUUGCUACAGCUGCGGCGACGAUGACGGACACACCUCGCGCCACUGCACCAACCCUACGAAGUGUCUUUGCUGCGGCGGGCGCUACCACACUUCCCGCCGCUGCACCCGCCGGAGGAGCCCCUCGGACUCGCUGCCUGCGCGGCCCGCCCCCGUUCUUCGCCUGCGCGCGUCGGCUGCGUCCUCGGGCAACCUUGCGCCGCCGCCACCGGGUGCAAUAUGGAUGGCCUCCCCCUCGCCCACUAUACUCCCACCACCGCCACCGGGCCUCCCUCCGGCUGUGGCGGCAUGCCUGGAUAGAGCCUGGUCGUACGUGGUUCACGCUGGCUCGAUCGGUGGACAGUAUGGUCGGCCCCCAGUUUUCAGCUCCGUUCGAAGGACCUGUCGCGGCGGCGCCGCCGCAGGAGGAGUCGGUGGACUGUUGUUUCCUGGAGGCCGGUGACGACCUGUGUGCGCUGGAGGACGAGCUGGAGCGGGCGGUAGUCCUCGCUACGGUCGGCCCGCGGCCAAGCGUGGACCUUGCCGCGGCCGCGGUGGCGCUUCAUGUGGAGUUCGACAUCGGCCCGUUGGAUAUGUCCAUCCGUGCGUUUUACCUAAACCUGAUCAUUCGCCGGGCAGGGUCGGGUUCGGGCCGGGCUUGGCAAAGCCCGAUGAAAAAAAUCCCAAGCCCAAGCCCGGACCGGCCCGAAGCACAUGAACAGUGGCGUUUUUGCUAGAAGUAUUCUUGCGGCCCGAAGCACAUGAACAGGUGAAAGCCCGAUGAAAAAAAUCCCAUGACAGGACAUGCUGGUGCCACCAGCGUUGUCUUGCGGCUCCAGAAGGGUCUCACACCAACCAGCGUGGACCGGGACCUCACCUAAGCAGUCCCCGGCCUCCGUUCAAUGGCCGUUCUUGCUAGAAGUAUUGGCGUUGAUGGGUUUUGGCGCAUGGUGGAUUUCCUGGAUCCGUGGCUUACUUGCGACAUCAUCCACCAAGAUAUCUAUGAAUGGAAUCCCUGGUGACACGGUUUUCAAUUGCCAAGGUUUAAGACAAUGAAGCCGCUCUCACCCAUGCUCUUCAUACCAUGUUUGGAGCCACUCCAACGACUGUUUGAGCAUGCGACAGCAGUGGGAUUGUUAGCCCCUCUGGCUAGGACUGGGCUGCGACAUCGGAUCUCCAUGUAUGCCGAUGAUGUGAUGAUUUUUCUGAAGCCAAAGGAGAGGGACAUCCUGGCAUGCUCGUCCAUCAUGGACUUGCUUGGACACCCCUCGGGACUCAAGAUUAACCGGCAGAAAAGCUCUGCACUGCCGAUUCAGUGCACGCCAGAGGACAUCCAGCUAGUGUCUGAGUUGCUGGAGUGCGCAAAUGCCACGUUCCCAUGUCGGUACCUCGGAUUAGCAUUGUCCAUUAGAAAACAAAUAGCAGCACACUUCCAAGAUAUGGUGGACCAGCUGGCGACGCACCUGCCGGCAUGGAAAGCAGCGUCCCUACCUAAGAGGAGCCGAAUGUUGCUUGUACAAUCUGUACUGUGCCUUCAGUGUGCACUCGAUGCUUGCCAUGGGGCUACCACCAAAAACAAUCAAGGCGAUGGUCAAAAUAUGCAGAAGCUUCUUCUGGUGUGGAAUGGAAGACGCCGGGGGUCAUCAAGUGCACCCCUGCACUGCCGCUUCUUUGUAUGGUUAGCUCUGAGAGAUAGAGUGUGGACUUCAAACAGGCUGGCGAGACGUGGUCUUCCACACCGUGACACUUGCCCGUUUUGCGACCAAGGCGACAAAACAAUAAACCACCUCCUGAUCCAAUGUGUAAUUGCAAGGAAAUUCUGGACCAAGGUAGGCCUAAUAGUGGGCAUGAUCGGCCUAUCACCAUUGGUGGGAGAUGAGCUACCGACAUGGUGCACACGGACAAUACUCCCUGGAAGGUAUGCCAAGCCCGUACACACCACCUGCUAGUCAUGUGGGAGUUGUGGAAGCACAUAAACUCAAUUGUGCUUGAAGGAGUGAGACUGGACGUGCAACAUGUGCUACGACGGAUAACCUCUGAGUGUGUGGCGUGGAAUCAGGCAGGCAUCCUACAUGCCGACCUCCAAAUCUCAUUUGCAGGAGUAGAUGGGUGGACCGAUGGCGAGUAGUUCACUUAGGAUGAUAUGUGGUCGAGUGCGUUGCGUAAAUGCCUUGUAAAUAACUGUGGUCGGGGUUUCUUCCCCUUUCCUUUCGUGAAUUUUUUUUGUUUGCCAAAGCAAUAAACCACAUGGACAUGGGUUGAGAACAAUAACACAGACAAUAAACAUAAUAAGCGCCGCCCAAAACUACAGCAAGUAAAAUAAGAAUCGGCAAUUGUAAACGAGUACUCCUAGAAGAUUACCAAGUACACCCUCAGAUCCACGGAUCUAAUUCAAGAACUAGAAAAGAAAAAGUCAAAUGAAUGGGGGAAGAUCUGUCAGGAGCCGAGGAGGGAGUUGACUAGCAGAUUGGCAAGGAAGACUCACCGAAGAUUGUGUUAGCCGGAUUCAUAUCGGCCUGGUUCUUGGCCGCAUCCCCGAUGAGGCGCUUGGAGCUGGUGAAGGCAACGUAGGAUGGGGUGGUUCUGUUGCCUUGCUCGUUGGCGACGAUCUCGACGUGGCCGUUCUGCCAGACGGCGACGCAGGAGUAGGUCGUGCCAAGAUCGAUCCCAAUGGCGCCUUCCCAGGCCAUCUUACAAGUUUACAGCCAAUCCAAUUGGGGGAGUAUUAGACAUUAUCGGCGCCACUCAACCGAGAACUAGAAAACAAGAUGAGCUCACCAUAUGGGUCGACAAGCGCGGCCACUAGGUGAGCUUCCUCCUAGGGGACCUUCAAGUUCCAAGAAGUGGAGCAUUACAAGACAUGCGAGCUUUAGUCAACGGGAAAGGGGAGAUCAUAUAUACCACCAUGGUCAGAUCUACUACAAGCUUGUUCUGGCUGCAGAAUAGAGAAGGAUCAGGGCUGUACCUGCACCUUGACCACCUGCUUGUUGCCCUCCUCCCCCGCCGGAUUUCUUCUUGUCUUCUUCCUCCGGCGGCUUCUUCUCAACCUCCACCGCUGCUUGCUCCGUAGGCGGCGACGGGAAAGGGAGCCAGGGUAGCGGCGUCGUGCAGGCCGAGGCCGGGAUGGUUGGCGAACGUGCUGAGCGGUGAUGAGCAAGGCCAAGGGCGUGCCACCUAUCUGCUAUGUGGUUUUGUUGCUGAGAGAGAGAGAGAGAGAGAGAGAGAGAGAGAGAGCAGGCUACAAGCGAUGAAUAGAAAUGCGCCUACGCGAUGACGAAGACUUUUAGCUACCAAUAAUGCAACAAUACUAGUCGAUCAGCAGGUGAAUUAAAUAGCGGCCGGGCCGCCGCUGAAAACAAUUGAAGGACCAACGAGGCAGCGUCCUAAAGUACAUUUUCUGUGCCAAUCAAUGGGAAUAUGACAAAACAAGAUGAGCAGCUAGAGGUGGGAACGCGAGUGGAGAAAGACGGAAAGGGGUAAGAUAAGGCCUUCUACUAUGUAGUCGUCGGUGCCCAAUGCGUUGAAAAUAUUACCGGCUGGACAGCGAUACCCUGAGGAUUUUAUUUGGCACCGUUCUCACAAUGUUGUGUUCGCAGACUGAUAAAAAGUGGGAUCCGGAUGCCCUAUUCACGUGAGUUUCUUCAGCCUAGUUAGCUCUCUACAGUGGGCCAUGAGCUAAUUGUUUUUUUGCUUUCUGCAUUUGGCAUCAGCUGGGCAUCGGAGCAGCUACUUGCUCCGGUUCCCUGAUUUUUUUUCAUGGCACCGGCUGGAUAAUGGAGGGCACCGGUGCCAAAUGAACAAGUCAGAAGUCAGAACCGAUCGAAUUCGAGAAGGUUCCUUUGGAUGGGGGUUGUUGCCGUUGGAUGCUGGUUCAACGGUGUUGGGCGCAUGGGACAGGGUGGAGAGUGCUCCGGUCAAAGGAAAAACAAAGACAAUCCAUUGUCAAGAAGAAAUACUCCUAACUUCUGUAUUUUUCUAAAUUAAUGGGAACAUGGAGACUUGGACCAAGGCAUGGUUAUCAAGACAAUCUCCAUUUUUCUAAUACAAGUUGCCAACUUUAACUCAAUAACAAAUAAUCCUAUAAAUUGUUUUUUAAGGCCUACUUCGCAAUAUAUGAGUUUUUUAGUCCUAUAAAUUGUUUCCAUGUGUGGCCCUUUGGAACAAAGAAUCCUUCAAAAUCCCUAUGGAAUUGCUUAAUCCGUAGGAAUUUUAGACGAAAUCUAGCAUGAGGUCCAACCACUUGGAAACUUUUCUUUGUGUCAAUCUCUCUCUUCUCAUUCCUUCAUUUUUCCUACAUUGCAUCCAAACACUCUACUACAAACUUUCUUACAUUGUCAAAUCGUACAGGAUUGCAAAUAUAAUGCAACUCUCCUAUGUUUUUUUUCCUAUUCCUACCUUUUGAGAUUCCUCCAUUCUAAAGAGGCCCUAAGGAUGAAAUGACCAAAUAUAGUGAUAAAGCCAUCUUUAGUGUUCUAGAACGUUUGUGCAGUAUUCCUAUAAAGGGAAAAAUAGAAAAUUGCAUUUAUUUCGGGAAACAGGAAGGUCAAGUAUUUGAAAACAAAUAAGUGGUAACAGAUGACAAGUAUUUGAAAAUGAACCUUUGUAUUUUCUAAGAUGAAAUGACCAAAAUAACCUUAUAAAGUUAUCUUUAAGUUUUCAUGGAAUAUUCCGAUAGUAUUCUAUAAGAACAAACUGAAAAUAGUUUAUUCCAUAAAACCUGAAAGUGCAUGUAUUCUUAUUAGUGUUAGUUGGAUUUUUAAUUACUGCUUGGUGCCCUCGACCAGUAAUCAAUAGUCAUUGUUGCUUGAGGCAUCACGUACACUACAGGUUUGAGGCACCAGCCAGUAGUGAUAGGUGGGACCACUAUCGUUUCUCAAUGACUCAGCCAGUUUUUUUGUACAGUACCGCCAACACCACUACCGUAGUACCUGAUCAUGACAAGCUGUUCGUGAAAACCACUUCUUUUGUUGUAUUACAAUAUGGAACAAAUGCAAUCCAUGUCCAUGGUGGGUAUCAUAGCAAUUUAACCCUCAUCUGGGGCGCUACGGGCGGCAACUCUUACUAGCUGUUUAGCAUCUCAAGAACAUCCGCCAUGGUAGGCCUACAUUUCGGAUCCCACUCAAUGCACUUCAAUCCGACCUCUCUACACCUGUUAAUCUUCAUUAGCUGAGACUCGUCAGCUAGCGCCGGAUCAAAUAACCCUUUCAUUGAUCUAAUCAUCUCAAUUGAACUCUGCAUAAAAAAACAGUUUCAAUGAAGGUAAGCAUAGUUUUGCAAAUAAUCGGUGAAUUACGGUGCAGUGCAAGAUUUGAGAUAUAAAUAAGGCGAAAAGCUAGCGUCUAAACAAAGUUCCCAUUGGACGCAACAAGAAAUAGUAGCAACUGCAACAUGAAUAAAAUAACCUUUCCAAUAUCCGGCAGUCUAGGUAAAAAAAAGCAACAUGUUCCUAGCUGCAUUUCUGGAUUCCAUUAGGGAAAAAACGCCCAUUCCAACCAGCAAAAUUAUUUGUUUAAGCAACUUUUAACAUUUCUGGUGUUAAUAAACACUUGUAAUAUUUGGAUCCACCACAGUCCUUAUCUAUAAGGGCACAUCUAGAGUGGGUAUUUUUUUUCUUCUUAUAGUUCAAGGGACCGGCAGUAGGUAUUUUAUCUUAAGAUAUAUAUACCAAAAGUAAAAAAAAUAAAAAACCUAAAUCUUCAUUGUUCACGAGAAAUCAUAUAUGGUAUGAAAUUGCGUAGGCCAUAAGUAAAUCAAAGGAACUUUGUAAUCUUAUAUAAAAAAAUAACCAACAUGGACCUAUAUAUAUUCAUUUUUAACAUAGAAUUAUGAUGAUUAUAUUAGUAUUGGUAAGCAUAGGGAUCAUCUUACUAUCACUAAUUUGAGGAUCCUUUUAAAGUCUCCAUAAUAAUCCUCAUGGUAUCCGCUAGGAACAAAUAUCAUGAGAGAGGGAGGGAGGGAGAGAGAAGGGAGAAAUCAAUUUGAUUACCUCUAGGCCUCAAAUUUAUCCAUGAAUUUCUAACAAUUAUCUUUCUUAAAAUUUGUAGUCCGUGCAGGAGCUCUAGUUUGAUAAAAUGAUGAAUUUUAAUAUACUAACUGUGCUACUAUGUGGGUUAAUAAUUGGCUUGUUCUACAAGAAGCAAUGAAGAAGUUGGUGCUCAUAUCAAGCUUCUAAAUUUAAUACGUACUCACCCAUUCUGGUAUAUCAUCGUAUGAUGAAAGUCUCCUGCCGGUAAUGAUCUGAAUGAGGAUGACUCCAAAAGAGAACACAUCGGACUUCAAUGAUACAUUAGCUCGACUAAUUUUUUCUGGAGCGAUAUAACCCCUGAAUGAUAAAAAAAAGUAAUGAAUAAUUUUAUAGAAGAGACAUGAGAAAAGAUGAAAGCAAUGAACUCAAUCCAGUUACAAUGUGCCCGCUAAGGUGUCCCCAGAGAUCGUAUCAUCAUCACCAUCUAGUACUACAGAUGAUCCAAAAUUGAUGAUCACAGGGUCCAUAUCUGAACGGACGAGGAUGUUGUUUGGUUUCAAAUCCAUAUAGAGAACCCAUUUCUUAUGUAGAUAAUGUAAGCCCUUGGCUAUGCCCUGAAUUAUCUUGAAACAGGAGGGCCAAUCAAGACGAGAUGCUGCAUAAUUUAAAAAGAAGAAGAAGAAGAAAGUAUUAGUUAUUAUAUAUUGUGAGAACAAGCGAAAUUAGGUCCAUAUGUGAAGUAGUAUUUUUACUUGAGGACAUGCCAUUAAUAAUAAUGUUUUCCAAGCUUUUAGCAUUCGACAUGUAUUCUUCGACCAAAAAGCAUAGCCUUUUUUCAACUUUGGCAUAUCCCAAAAGUUUAACUAUGUUUCUGUGUUCAAGCUUUGCACGAAUAUUGAGCUCAUGCUGCAGUUCAAGAUCAUUAGAGACUGGAAACUUCUUGAUGGCGGCUACAACAUCUAGUCCGUUGUGCAAUAAUACACCCUGAAAAGAUAAAACACAAGUUAAUUUUUUGGCAGAAAAGACAAAGUUAUGAUUCACUUCAUGACAAUAAACCUGAAAGAAAAAUAUGAACCCUUUGUAUCAUAGUGUCGUGCUGUAAUUUUAAUUUAGAGUGUGAUGCUAUGUGUAAAUCUAUUUGGUGCAGAAGCCAGAAGUUGCUUUUUGUGAAGAAAGAGACCGUGGAUAAUACUUUUUUGUAAUAGUAUAACAUUAACACAAAUCACUCCAAUAUCAUGCUACGGUGGAAUAUGCAGUGUAUGUGGCCAAAGAAACAAUACGUUGGGAGUAGGUAACCAUAUUUUAAUUUAUGGAAAAGACCAUUUUACUCCCGUAUGAUACUCCCAUUUUAGUAUAUGUCAUGGCCUUUGAGCCAGACAACUAAUAUUACAGUUAUGUCAAGUCGAGCCUUAUGGGUCGGGAAAAGCCAUGUUGUACCAAGAAAUUGAAAGCAAUCGCAUCGUCUUCUCAAAAUUCAUGAAAUGUGUUUACUUAUAUCUUGUAUCAAAUUGAUCAAAUGUGACAAUGAUGAUUGUCCGAAAAUCCAACACAAAAUUAGCAAACGAAGCAAGGGAGUACCUUGUAGUAGCCUCUUUCAACAUAACUAUCUUCUGAGAAGUCGUUUGUAGCAGCCUCCAACUGAGACAAACUGAACUGUGCAAUGCCUGUCAGGGAAGCAGACGCAUGAGAUGGGGAGGUGGCCAUGCGUGCACGGAUCAUACCACUAGUCAGGAAGAUCAGAAAUAAUAGUUUUGCCUUCAAAACUCGUUCGCAUAGUUUUGCUUCCAAAACUUGUUCGCACGAUGAUUAUAAUUAGCCAUUCAGUAAAAAAUAAAUAUAUAGGCUAGCUGCUAGAUAGCCUACCUAAUUUAAAUAAAAUAAUGUGUGAAGCCAUGGGACAGGAAUUACAUCAUCGGUCCAAGUAACAGAAAUGCAUUGGCACACCUUACCUGACAAGGGAUCAGACUCUGCCCUUCUUACUGUUGCUACCAUGGUCUUCCCUUUGUCAUUUUUCCUUACUCCAGGUCUGCUAUUGCCAUUGGAAAUUCAAAAUAAGAGGCCUUCUGACAUAUUGCAAGUUUGGAUUUAAAAAAAAAGUCAUUUAAAUGCUUAUUUUGAGUAGUCCCUUGAAAUAGAUAAAAGAGGCGUGUUUGGAUGGUUAUAUAGUUAAUUUGUCUGGCUCAAAGAGCUAGCUACAGGGCAUACGAAAUGUACUUACGUACAUAAAUUAUGUGGAUGGUUAUAUCGUUAAUUUGCUUAUGUAAAAAAUGAAUAAUCCAUCUUAAAUAUUGGAAUACUGUACCUCAUAUACUUAGCUCGAUCGAACGUGCAGUGCUCUUGCAACAGCUAGCAGCCAAGGAAUAAAAAGUUGCACUCUUAAAGUUUCAAAUUGCAUAAUAACCUUAAUUUUGUCAGCAUGAGUGCUAAAGGGCCAUUAGUGAGUAGUUUAAGUCUAGUUUAGAGUGAUGUGUCCUGCUUUGGACGGCUGAUCUUCCAAAUUAAACUAGUUAGUAACUUUGGGAAUUUGCUAUGUAUGUUAAGGUUACACUAGUUGAUAACAUUUUGUUGCAUGUUUGUUUAAAGCCUAGGAUACAUUACACUGUACUGCUACCCCAUCUUAGUAGACAUGGCAUCUUUUUAAGAAAGAACGGAAGAAAGGUUAAUAGUCCACAUCUUAAUUAUAUCAUCAAAAUGCAAAUGUUAAUUUACAACAAAAUGAGACAUGAAUUUGCACUGCAGAUAUCUUAACGUACCUAGCUUGAUCGGUUCUUGGUUGACUACUUUGUGGGUUUUCCGCCUGUCCUGCAUACUGAAGUGCAAAAAAUAUGUGCAAAAGAUAUGAUUAAUUGCUGCUCGAUCUAUCUAGGAAUACUUCUAUUAGUAAGUAUUAUGGGCCUACUUUAUAUAUGGGUUCUGCGAGGCCCAUUAUAGAGAAGGGAUAAACUGUCUAACUCGUUAUAAAUUAUAGGCUCAAUUUGGCAUGGCUUCAGAUCUGAGAUUCACUUCAGAUCUAUCUAUAUUCUAUACAAGUUUGCAUGCUAAGAUUAAGAACCUUAUGAAAACUCUAUCUUUUGUCUAGAGAAAACACAGUUGAAGCAAAUAGCUCAGGACCUCAGGUGUGUGUUACCAAUUAAUAGCUCCAAUUAAUCGAUUAACUAAUUAAGCCAUAAAGAUACCUGUGUGACGAGUUUGUCCAAAGCAAUCUUUAUGUCGACAUCGACGGCGAAGGCACCCAGCUGGAGUUUCCUUGAUAUAUCUUCAUGUGCCCGGCGCAGCUGCUUGGACAUGGCUCGCACACAGGUAGCGGAGCAGGAAGCACUUGCCAUGGCACGUGUCGAUGAGCAGGAGGGCGUCAUCAAGGCAAUUCGCCAUGGCCUCCAGCGUAUCGCGCAUCGCGGGGUCCUCCAUGACCUCCAUCUUCUCCUUGAGCCGCUCCGUGUGAGAGCUGACAUGAGCCGCAAGCUUGCCGAUCUCCACGCAAUCCUUCUUGUUCUGCUUAGCCGUUUCCACGGCCGUCUUGAUGGCGAGCGCGACUUUCACGACCCUCUCCACGCUGCCGAGUGUGAUAUCGGCCAUCGUAAUUAAUUUGCCGUGCGUCGUUGACCACGAUCAGCUACAUCAUCAGAUCGAAAAACAGCCUUGGAUCACUAGCAGCUUCUUCUCACAAUGAUCGGACUUGGUUAGGCAAGAAGGAAGCUAAGCAUACCAACCUGUUAUUGUUGGUUCUACUCCUUUCUUCUCGUCGGCCGGCUUAGCUUCCUCCGAUCCUCGCUCCCCCUGCACAAAGCGUGCUUGAUGAGAUCUGAUCCGAUGAGGCCGUCAACAACUCAACAAGUAUAUAGAAACAAUAUAUAUGGUACUCCCCAAUCAAAGAGGGAGGGCGUUGUCUGUAACAGGCUGUGAGCCACGUUUAAAAUAAAAGAAUUAGGACCACGCCAAGUCAACUUGAUGAUCUUCUUCUUGCACCAAGAAAUUGAGUGCCAAAUGUUGUUUGGAUGGUCAAAGUGAGGAAUUUAGUGGAGACAUACCGGCCGCCGAAGAUCGGGUUGGAGGCGGGGCGAGAGGGUGGUGCCUGGAGGUAGGUGGGCGAGACGGGUUACCUGCGCCGGGCCGCUGGAGCUCGGGGUGGAGGCACGCCGGCUGCCGGAGCACGGCGUGGAGGUGGGCUGCUGGAGCUCGGGGUGGAGGCACGCCGGCUGCUGGAGCACGGCGUGGAGGUGGGCCGCUGGAGCUCGGGGUGGAGGCACGCCGGCUGCCGGAGCUCGGCGUGGAGGUGGGCCGCUGGAGCUCCGGGUGGAGGUGGUCGGGAUGGGUUACCUGCGUGGAGGCACGCCGGCUGCCGGAGCUCGCGGUGGAGGUGGUCGGGAUGGGCUAUCUGCGCCGGGCCGCUGGAGCUCCGGGUGGAGGCACGCCGGCCGCCGGAGCUCUGGGUGGAGGUGGGCGGGAUGGGUUACCUGCGCCGGGCCGCUGGAGCUCGGGGUGGAGGCACGCCGGCCGCCGGAGCUCGGGGUAGAGGUGGGCGGGAUGUGCUACGUACGUGCACCGCCGCCGUUCCUGGGCACGCACGGGCGAGACCUGUCUCGAGUGGGGAUGAAUGGAAUGCCAAGUCCAACCAAACGGCGGCAAUUGGGUAUUGGCAUUAGUUUGGGCCUUACCUAAUUAUUAUGCAAACUGUUAUAUAUUCUUUUUUCUUUUUCGCUGGUACAAACUGUUGUAAGUAUAUUCAACCAAGACUUGGGACCAAGGCGAGUAAGUCCUUCUUGUUAACAAGGUAGCUGUUGCAUCUACUACUAAUCGGUUUGUCCUUUAAGUGAUCUAAACGCUUUUAUAUUUUUUUAUUUAUACAGGAGUAGCCUCCUAGGUAGCUAGAAAACACAUCGCAGAUCGAUGGAUUUGAUUAAUUCUUGCUAGUUCAUUGACUCUGCACCGCGCGAGAUCACAGUGCAUGUUGUUAGAUGGAUACGAACGAGGCGCACAAUAAGUUAGUCACCAGCCGGCCGGCUUAAACACCACAAAACAUACUUGCCCACUAGUCAUAAGUAUACUUGAGCGUUGCCUCAAAAACAAAGUAUACUUAGGGUUCAGUUGCUAGAUGUUAUCCAGCUCGAUCUGUGUGCGAUGGCGAAUCCCAAAAAAAUGGAGUGUCGGAAAAAUAGAAAUAAGAACUCAUUUGGAACCUUUUUCGGUUCUUGCUGCUACUGUGCAACGCGGUUUUUUUUAGAACUCUCGCCAUUUUAUUGAUUAAUAGCAAUGUUUAUAUCUCCAACCGGGACUAAAGGUCUGUCUUCAGUCCCGGUUUUAGACCCCUACCCGUCCUCUCCUCUGUUUUUUCCUCAUAGAAGGUGGAAGAUGUGUGCUAGUUUGUUUUCUCUUUCUAUGCACAAGAGGUGCUCGAUGAAAUGCCUGAUAGAAUGAUGCCACUUGAGUUCACAAAACAAACAUGAUAUGACGUGCCCGAGCCACACUUAAGCUUUCUCCUAUGUUCUUCCUCCAAGCUCCAUUUUCUCCAAGAUUUGUCUAGAUUUGGCGGCGCACCAACAUUUUCCCCAAGAUUUGUUUAGAUUUGGCGGUGCACCAACUAUCUAAGUGUUCUAAAAGGUUAGCAACUUCAUCUUUUUAUCUCUCAUUGCUAGUUUAGCUCAUUUCAUGCUCUAGAAGUAGAGUGAUUUGUGGGUUUUAGUGGAGUGUACGUGGGAGUUUAUUUGAUUUAGAUGCAAUUUGAGCUCAAUAACUUCUUAGUUUGCACAUGUGUAGGUGCAGAGUUUUGUAGGACAGUAGCAAAUUUCCCUCAAGUGGAUGAUCUAAGUUUUAUCAAUCCGUGGGAGGCGUAGGAUGAACAUUGUCUCUCUCAAACAACACUGCAACCAAAUAACAAAGAGUCUCUUGUGUCCCCAACACGCCCAAUACAAUAGUAAAUUGUAUAUGUGCACUAGUUCGGCAAAGAGAUGGUGAUACGUGUGUAAUAUGUAUGGUAGAAAUGUAUUUUUAUAAUCUGAAUAAAUAAAAACAGCAAGCUAGAAAACGAUAAAAGUGAGCACAAAUGGUUUUGCAAUGCUUAAAAACAAGGCAUAGGGUUCGUACUUUCGCUACUGCAAUCUUUCAACAAUUGUAACUAGAUAAAUCUCCGCGCGUUGCUGCGGGAUAUUUUGUGCUAAAAUUUCUAAUGUGGAGAGAUAGAAAAAUAGCAACUUGCAUGUUCGUCAAAUCAUUUCUAUUUUUGUGGGGAAAGCAUAUCUUUCAAAUGUGUGCAUACAAAAGAAUUGCUUGCGUCGAAUUGUAACAAUAGUGUUAAUACAAAGAAUUGAAAUGAUGAGUUAAUACAAAAAAUUCGAAACAAAAAAGUCUUUAAGUGAUGACACUUGCCUGAUACAUACAUGAAAAGAGUGCAUCAGAAUCAGCAUAUAGCUAAAAGUAAUAAAUUUGGAUGUUGGAUCCAUGGACGUGCAAUUAUCAUGUUACCUGAGCUGAUCAACUAUUCUUAUUCUUGGAGUAACGUCAAAAUGCAAGUAACCCAUAACUAUCUUCCAGAACAAAAUAAGACAAAAAAAUGUUGCCACAUACACGAAAACUUGUACAGAAAUGUCACCUAGUUUAACUGAACUUAAAAUCUACUACCAAUGCAUCAAAGUCAACAAUCACUAACCUGCAACUCUCAAAAACAAACAAAAUGACAUCUUUAGAUGUGAACUAAUGGAUAAUAGUAUAGCAAUAGAAUAAAUGAAAAGUCAGAAGAACGAAAAUUUAUUCCAUCAGGAACUAUGAAUGUGUCCAAUGUAACUUUGAAUAUACGAUGAUCAAGGCCUUCGACCUAAAAAAGACAAUGAUCAUUAAGUCAGCAUCAGAAAUACUACAUGGAGGUGCUAGGUAAGGAGUUGAUGGCGAGGUUCAUAUCGAGAAUGGUAUUAUAAAGCCCAUCGCGUGUCUCCUCAGAUGCCCAUUAAUUUAUGAGUUUGUAAUGGCUAUUUCAAGCUGCACCACUCACCUCUCAUGUCACUGGAGAAGAAGAGAGAAACCAGUCAGUUUGGCCUGGCUGUCCAGGAGGGACUGAGCGCAUAAUUACUUGACAUGGUCAAGUAUAUUGCAACAACAGGUCAAGAGGAUCACAACACCUCCAAUUCCAGAAACGUCGUCGAUGUCCCCACUCAUAAGCUUACCACCGAUAGAAAGGAGCAGCCAAGACGGCUUCCUCAGUAGCUGCAGAGUCAGCUCACCUAAAAAAUGCUAUCAUUGCCAUGCUAGAAGCUCGACCAUGUUGUAUCUUCCUCAUUUAGUCCUCGAAGCUGAACUGCAGCUCCAACUCCUUGUGUUAAGAGACUAUAGUGUUCAUAAUUUAUGUCCCUGCAAAAAAGUUCAUAUUUCUAGAACACUAUUCAGUUUUGCUGAUCUGCCAUCGAGCAAACAAAAGAAACUCCAGAAUAUUCUAUUUAUGCAUCCAUAGCAUAUGCUCUUUACCUAAAACCUACAUGGAACAUUUACACAGACGUUAGUAUAGAGGAACUAUUGUGGAAUUUCAAAAAGGAAGCGAGCCAUCAUGAUAUGUAGUAAAACAUGUAUACCAAGUCAGAAACAUAAAAUUUGCAUGUACCUUCAGACUGUAGCGUGUGUGGGAAUUAACCUUCAGUAAGAAAAUAAAAAGUAGAAAAACGUUCAGAGUUGGACUGCACCAAGUAACACAUCACUUUGAAAUUGGUUGAGUUAUUUUAUUUACCACCUAGGACGUAAUGCUUAUAACCAGUCCACCUGAAGCAUGAAAGAUGACAAUGACCAACACCACGAAAGAAGACAGUUUUCAGUACACUGUUUAGAAAGCAGCAAGAUAAUUUAUGAUGCCCUGUGUAUACAUCAAGAUAUUUAACUCAGUCCACCUGAAACAUGAAAGGAGACGGUGACCAGAAGCACGAAAGAAGACAGUCUUCAGUAUGAAUUUCUGAAAGCAGCAAGAUAAUUUAUGAUGCCUUGUGCAUACAUCAAGAUAUUUAACAAAAAAUUAGAUUGAGAGAGGCUACUUGCAGAUGGUGGCACAUAGAGCUAUUCAACAGGAACAAAUUACUUGGUAAUGUAAUACUUGAAAGAUGAAUAUGUGCUGAUGCAUAAAUUCCAUUGGACAUACUUGAAUCAGACAAAUGCCCAACGCAGCCGUAGAGCUGCUGCAAGUAGUGCAGAUGUUGUAUAUCAUGAUGUGUACCCCACCCAGCCUCUACAUCGAUCUUCUUGAGAUCCGGUCGUUCCUCCGCCAUCGCCAUCGCACCCGCCGGUUCUGCCCCGGGACGGCCGCCGUAAACCCUAGAGGAGGCUGGCUUCUCUUGCCGUCGCUUCGUCAGGGCUUGAGAUGGUGGGGAUGGGAGACGGGAGGCCAGCUUAUGAGGGAUUCAGAACAUUUACUUUGGGGAGGUUUUCUUUCGCUUCCGCUUCCACUGGUCGAGGAACAGAGAUCCAAACGGGAGGGACGUGGUCACGUGGAUUGUGGAACACCGAGGGGUCAUCUCGUAGGAUGGUAGGUUUGGAGAGAUGCUAAACACACGGAGUUGCUACAGGGCGUUUACGGAGUGGUUAAUGGUGAUUGGUUGAAAUUUGAUUAAGUUAGGCGGGGCCCCACAGUGAAAAUCGCGCGGGGGGUGGGGGGCGGGGGGGCAAUUAGAGAAGAGCAGGCAGCACGGUCCGUGAAAGUCCGUCGCGGGAGCCCCGUGUGUGUGUAGUAUUAUCGGUAGGCUCGUGGGUUGUAAUAGCAGUAACUUAAGCCACCCAUUGGUAAAAAACAUUCGGGGGGAUAUGACAUCAAGCGCUAGGUGAACAUGGAGAAAAAAACGAAGAGAUAAAAGUGACGUGGGUGAAAAUUGCUGAGGUGGCUAAUGAUGAUGUGGAUGGGCUGCAUGUUGAGAGAAUUGGUAGUAGUGGGGAUCAACUUCUUAAGAAUGUAAGAUAUAUUGGAUCAUAUAACCAUCCAUCAACGUGCGAUGAAGAAUCACUCCAAAGUUCUUAUCUAAGGGGGAAUAUAAGAAGAAAUUAUUUGUAGGUAUGAAACCACAUCAAAGUUAUUCUUUUCGGUCAAUCUUUUGAGCUAUUUCUAUAAGUGUCACAAACAACCCUAAAGUUCGUACUAAAAUAACAACAUACGAUACACAUCAACCAACUCUAAUGUCACCUAGAUACUCCAAUGUCACCGCGAGUAUCCGUGAGUUAAUUAUACGAUAUGCAUCAAACAAUUUCAGAUUCAUAAUACUCAAUCCAACACAAAGAACCUCAAAGAGUGCCCCAAGAUUUCUACCGAAGAAACAAGGAAAAGAACGUGCAUCAACCGUUAUGCCUAGAUUACCCCAAUGUCACUUCGGGAAUCCGCGAGUUGAGUGACAAAACAUACAUCAAGUGUUCUCAAAUCCAUAACACCAUAUGAUCCAACUAUAUUAACAAAGCUCGCGGUACAUCAAGACCGUGCCAAAUUACACGAGGGAGAGAGAGAGAGAGAGAUUAAACACAUAGCUACUGGUACAAACCCUUAACCCCGAGUGUGGACUAAUCCCUCCUUAUCAUGGUGGCCGCUGAGAUGAUGAAGAUGGCCUUCGGUGAUGAUUUCCCCCUCCGGCAGGGUGCUGGAACGGGCUCCCAAUUAAAUUUUCAUGGAAACAGCGGCUUGCGGUGGAGGAACUUUCGAUCUAGGGUUAUUUUUAGGGGUUUCUGAAUAUAUAGGAUUUUUUGGCGUCGGUCUCACGCUGAUGGGGGUGGCGCGCCCUGGUGGGUAGUGGCCGCCUCCAGCCCCUUUUGGUCCUCCCACGAAGCUUCUGGUGCCUCUUUUGUUCCAAAAAUAAAUCGUCAAAAAGUUUCGCUGCAUUUGAAGAACUUUUAUUUCUGCUCAAAAAACAACACCACGGUAGUUCUGCUGAAAACAGCGUCAGUCCGGGUUAGUUCCAUUCAAAUCAUACUAAAACCAUAUAGAAUUGUUGUAAACAUGGCAUGAAUACUUCAUAAAUUAUAGAUACAUUGGAGACAUAUCAUCAUCCCCAAACUUAAUUCCUGCUCAUCCUCGAGUAGGUAAAUCAUAAAAAAAUAUGAAGUGUGAAUGCUUGCAUAUUGUAUAGGUUUGAUCAACGUUAAUUUCAAUCACUUUUCCUAGCAUCAUAACAACAACUCUUCCUCAUAAAAGUCAUCAUGAUAAAGUAGCAAUCGGUUUACAUGUUAUGGUUCAAACAAUGCCUUCUCUUGAAACUUAACAACAUAUAUUCUUAGUCACCAAACAAUUGCAAUUCAACUUAUUCAACAAAGUCUAAGUAAGAGCUCCACAUACUCAAUCAUCAUAUAGUCUUCUAUGAUUGACAGUACACAAAGCAUAUUUUAGAACAAAUGGCAUCCAUUGAACACAGAGAAAGAUAUGGGCUUAAUGUUUCGUCUCCCAACUCAUUUAUCAUAAAGAUAAUUGUCAGCAAUAAUAAUUCAUGAUCAAAUAUAUUUGAUUGGUCAUAUGUGCCUAGAUCUUUCCUCACCAGAUGAUUCUUGCCAACUAGAGAAUAAUUGAGGUUGAAAUGAGAAUGCAUACUAUUGACUCUUUGAUGCGGCUCGAACUACGUUGGUAUUUCUCCAAAGAGGAAGGGAUGAUGCAACACAACUACGGUAGGUAUUUCCCUCAAUGAUGUGACCAAGGUUAUCGAACCAGUAGGAGAACCAAGCAACACUAUUUAAACGGUACCUGCACAUAAAGAACAAAUACUUGCAACCCGACAUGUUAAAGGGGUUGGCAAUCCCUUCCGGGUAACGGUGCCAGAAAUUGUCACGUUGACGGGAUAAAAAUUGUGAUAGAUUGGAUAAUAGAUCUCGAAUAAACGCGAAUAAAAUAAAGUGCAGCAAAGUAUUUUGGGAUAUAUCUCAAAGGCAAAUAUGAUAAGGAAGAGACCCGGGGGCCAUAGAUUUCACUAGUGCCUUCUCGCAAGAAAAAUAGUAUACGGUGGGUAAACAAAUUACUGUUGGCCAAUUGAUAGAACUUUAAAUAAUUAUGACAAUAUCCAGGCAAUGAUCAUUAUAUAGGCAUCACGUCCAAGAUUAGUAGACCGACUCCUGCCUGCAUCUACUACUAUUACUCCGCACAUCGACCGCUAUCCAGCAUGCAUCUAAUGUAUUAAGUUCAUGGAAAACGGAGUAAUGCAAUAAGAACGAUGACAUGAUGUAGACAAGAUCUAUUCAUGUAGGAAUAGACUCCAUCUUGUUAUCCUUAAUAGCAACGAUACAUACGUGUCAUAUCCCCUUCUGUCACUGGGAUUGAGCACCGUAAGAUUGAACCCAUCACAAAGCACAUCUUCUCAUGGCAAGAAAAAUCGAUCUAGUCGGCCUAACUAAACCAAAGAUUCGAAGAAGAAAUACGAGGCUAUAAGCAAUCAUGCAUAUAAGAGAUCAAAACUCAAAUAACUUUCAUGGAUAAAAUAGAUAUGAUCAUAAACUCAAAGUUCAUCGGAUCCCAACAUACACACCGCAAAAAAGAGUUACAUCAAAUAGAUCUCCAAAAGACCAUUGUAUUGAGAAUCANNNNNNNNNNNNNNNNNNNNNNNNNNNNNNNNNNNNNNNNNNNNNNNNNNNNNNNNNNNNNNNNNNNNNNNNNNNNNNNNNNNNNNNNNNNNNNNNNNNNNNNNNNNNNNNNNNNNNNNNNNNNNNNNNNNNNNNNNNNNNNNNNNNNNNNNNNNNNNNNNNNNNNNNNNNNNNNNNNNNNNNNNNNNNNNNNNNNNNNNNNNNNNNNNNNNNNNNNNNNNNNNNNNNNNNNNNNNNNNNNNNNNNNNNNNNNNNNNNNNNNNNCGGACCCGUAGGUCUACAAUGAACUACUCACACAUCAUCGGAGAGGCACCUAUGAGGAUGAUGAACCCCUCCGUGAUGGUGUCUAGAUUGGAUCUAGUGGUUCUGUAACUUGCGGCGGCUGGAAUUGUGUUUCGUCGGCUCCCCUAGGGUUUUUGGAUUUUCGGGGUAUUUAUAGACCAAAGAGGCGGUGCGAGAGGCGGCCGAGGUGGGCACAACCCACCAGGGCGCGUGUGGGCCCCCCGCGCGCCCAGGUGGGUUAUGCUCCCCUCGGAAGCCCCCUCUGGUACUUCCUCGGCCCAUCGUGUGUCUUUUGGUCCAAAAAAAUCUCCAAAAAGUUUCGCUGUGUUUGGACUCCGUUUGGUAUUGAUUUUCACCGAAGUAAGAAACAAGCAAAAAACAGCAACUAGCACUGGGCACUAUGUCAAUAGGUUAGUCCCAAAAAAUGAUAUAAAGUUGUUAUAAAAUGAUUGUAAAACAUCCAAGAAUGAUAAUAUAACAGCAUGGAACAAUAAAAAAUUAUAGAUACGUUGGAGACGUAUCACUCUUGCAUAAAAGUAAAUACUGAAAAGUAAAAGAUAGGCCCUUCGCAGAGGGAAGCAAAGGUUUUCAUGCGCUUUUUAUUUUUGGAUACGCAAGCUCUUAAUGAAAAGGAACGUCACGUUAUAUCGCCUCUUAUGAUAGCAACCUUUAUUAUGCAGUCCGUCACUUUUACUACCUUGCAAUCGCAAGUUUGUACAACGCUUAUUUUCCCUUACAAUAAAAGAUCAAACAUAUUUAGGAGCAUCGAUUACAAUUUACUUGACUGAUCUUACUCGAUCCAUAGGUAGAUAUGGUGGGCACUCAUGGAAAGAAACUGGGUUUAAGGGUUUUUGGAUGCACAAGUAAUAUUUCUACUUAAUAUGAAUUUUUGGCUAGAAAAAGAUCCUAAGCAAGCACCACAUGUUGGAGGAUCCAUAACAAUAUAACUUCUAUGCAAAUAUACACAAGCAUAACUCAUUACGUUGUCUUCCUUGUCCAACUUCAACUAAUUUGCUCAAUUUCAAAAAUAAUUAAUGGGUGGGUAUCUCAUCACUCAAGCAUAACUCAUUAAUGACUAAAUAAUUAUUGUUUUAAAUGGAACCUCUUGUUGAUGGUGACCUCCAUCUUCUGGCCAGUGGUUUUGUCCUUGGCAGAGAUAUCCAGGAUGCCGUUGGCAUCGAUCUCGAAGUGCACAGUUAUUUAUGGAAUGCCUUUGGAUGCUGGAGGAAUGGAGAACUCAAACUCGCCCAAUAGGUUAUUGUCACAAGUCUUGGUUCCUUCACCCUCGUAAACCUGGAUACGAAUACAAGGUUGGUUGUCAUAGAAGGUAGAUAUGACUAUCUCCUUGAAGGUGGGUAGCGACGUGUUCCUUGGCAUCAUCACUGUCAUGUCGCCCCCUUUCGUCCCCAAACCAAGAGAAGUGGGGUAGCAUCCACCAAAAGGAGGUCCAUAAUCAAAUUUCUCAUUCUAUCAAGUCAAAACGGCAGCCUGCAAAGCAGCACCAAAGGCAGCAGCUUCGUCUAGAUUGAUGCUCUUAUUGAGCUCCUUCCCAUUGAAGAGCUCCUGGAAGAGCUGCUGAAUCUUUGGAAUUCUAGAGGAGCCACCAAUAAGAACAACAACAUGAACUGAGCUCAUUUCCAUGCAAGCAUCACUGAGGCAGUCCUCCACAAUCUCCAUACACUUCCUGAAGAGAUCCAUGUUGAGCUCCUCAAACCUAGCACGGAUGAUGGUUGAGUAGAAGUUGAUGUCCGAUCAUACAAACAAUUGACCUCAAUGACCGUGUCUUUAGUGGAGGAGAGGGUCCUCUUCGCCCUCACGCAGGCUGUCCUCAGUCUCCUAAGAGCCUUGGGGUUGCCUCUGAUGUCCUUCUUGUUCUUUCUUUAAACUCAUGGACAAAUUGGUUCACCAUGUGGUUGUCAAAGUCCUCACCACCAAGGUGAGAGUCGCCAGCUCUGGCCUUGACCUAAAAAAUAUAAGACUCGAUACAGACAAGGGAGUCAUCAAAGGUACCACCUGCAAGGUCAAAGACGAGAGCAUUCUCUACCAGAUCACCCCUCUCGAUAACCUUGUUGUGAAGGCCAUAAGCCAUAGUAGCAACAGUCGGCUUAGUGAUGAUACACAUUACAUUAAGACUAGCAAGCACUCCUGCAUUCCAGGUGGCCUGCCGCUGCAAGUCGGUGGAGCAAGCAGGAACAAUGACAACAACAUCCUUGACGGUGCUGCCAAGGUAGGCUUCAACAGUCUCCCGCAUCUUGACGAGAACCAUUGAGGAAAUCUCUUCAGCUGCAUUGGAUGCUCGGCUCCCGCAUCCAUGUCCAGGAACUGGUCCCUCCUUGUUCGUGGACGGUGAUACGUCUCCAACGUAUUUAUAAUUUAUGAAGUAUUCAUGCCAUGUUUACAAUAGUUUUAUAUGGUUUUGGUAUGAUUUGAUUAGAACUAACCCGGACUGACGCUGUUUUCAGCAGAACUACCAUGGUGUUCUUUUUGUGCAGAAAUAAAAGUUCUCGGAAUGCGAUGAAAAUCAACGGAGAAUUUUUCUGGAAAAUAUAAAAAAUACUGGAACGAAGAGUUACCGGAGGGGAGGCCCGUGGGCCCCAUGAGGGUGGAGGGCGCGCCCCUGUGCCUCAUGGACUUCCCGUGGGGCCCCCUGACUUGUUCUCGACGCCAACCUCUCUUAUAAAUACCCAAACUUCCAGAAAAUAACCUAGAUCGGAAGUUCCGCCACCGCAAGCCUCUGUAGCCACGAGAAAUCAAUCUAGGCCCUCUCUGGAACCCUGCCGGAGGGGGCCAUCAUCACCGGAGGCCAUGGAGGAGGAUUCCGGAGGGGCCAUCAUCGCCAUGAAGGCCAAGAUCCAAAGGGAGAACCUCUCCCUAUCCAGGGGGGAGGCCAUGGAGGAGGAAGCACAAGGGGGAGAACCUCUCCUCCUCUCUCUCAGUGGCGCUGGAGUGACAUCGGGAGGGGAAUCAUCAUCGCGGUGAUCGUCUUCAUCAACAUCAACAUCAUCAUCACCAUCCUCAUCUUUUUUACGCGGUCCACUCUCCCGCACCCCGCUGUAAUCCCUACUAGAACAUGGUGCUUUAUGCCACAUAUUAUGAUCCAGUGAUGUGUUGCCAUCCUAUGAUGUUUUGAGCAGAUAUCCUUUGUCUUUGGGUUGAUUGAUGAUAUAGAUUGGUAUGACUUGUAUGUUUUAUUUUGGUGAUGUCCUAUUGUGCCCUCCGUGUCGCGCAAGCGUGAGGGAUUCCCGUUGUAGGGUGUUGCAAUACGUUCAUGAUUCGCUUAUAGUGGGUUGCUUGAGUGACAGAAGCAUAAACCCGAGUAAGGGGGUUAUUGUGUAUGGGAUAAAGGGGACUUGAUAUGUUAAUGCUAUGGUUGGGUUUUACCUUAAUGAUCUUUCGUAGUUGCGGAUGCUUGCUAGAGUUCCAAUCAUAAGUGCAUAUGAUCCAAGAAGAGAAAGUAUGUUAGCUUAUGCCUCUCCCUCAUAUGAGUUUGCAAUGACGACUACCGGUCUUGUUAACGAUUGCCUAGGAUAAUUCCGCACACCGACCCAUCAUUAUUCCACACUCGCUAUUUAUAAUAUUUGGUAAUAUAUUCUAACUUUAUGAUAACAGCGCCUACUUUUAUAUUUUAGCUCUCCGAUACCAUGCAAAGUUCAUACCCACAACAUAGUUUUAUUUCUCGUUUCUAGUUGGAAGCAAACAUUCGGUGUACGUAGAGUCGUAUCUGUGGCAGAUAGGACUUGAGAGAAUAUUGAUCUUACCUUUAGCUCCUUGUGGGUUCGACACUCCAUACUUAUCACUUCCACCUUUGGGAAUUGCUACGAUGAUUCCCUGCACUUGGGGAUUAUCAGAUGGAUGCCAGAGAAAAUUGCCAGGUCAGUGUUGGAGAUGCCCUUAUUACCAAACCCCACUAAUAUGUUUAAUCUGGUUUCAAUUUUGGAAACAGCCAACGAAAGGUGCGCACCAGGCCAUCACCAUGCUAAUCCAACGACCAUCAUGAUAAAGGGUUUUCCCCGCUUAUAUUAUAAAGCAACAGUCCAAGCAUACAAACGACCAUACAACAAAGGAAAAUAAAAGAGCAAGAACAGUAAAGAUACAAGACACCGAAAGAGCCACUAACAAACGACCAUACAACAAAGGAAAAUAAAAGAGCAAGAACAGUAAAGAUACAAGACACCGAAAGAGCCACUAACAAGCGUCGAAUGCAACAAGCGCAAGCCUGAGCAUCGAGGCCCUCGGCGAACACGGUCUUGCACACGACAAGACAAAGGCAGGGUAGUGACCCGCGGCCGGAGGAGGCCGCGCUCCGUCAACUCCGCCGAGGCCUAGUCGAUCAACCAGUCGUCUCUACCUCCGAUGAAGUCCCACUCCCCACUCGCUCUGGAUUGUAGGACGCCACGCCGUCGGCAGGUAAAGCCUCUCAUCACCGAGCUGAAGGCCAAAACCAACUGGAUGCCGGGGAGAAGACUACGAGCACGGCCACCUCCACUCGCAGCGCCACACCCCAUACAUCACCAUGUCAUUGCCGGAUCAACGUCAACAGAAAGCAGUCGGGCAGGAUCAUCCCUGAAGAAGACAACCGCCCCCUGCACCGAAGCCCUGGCCACCCCUCCGCCAACCAAAGGUGGCGCCUUCAAGAAGAACAACGACGAUGACGUGUCAUCACCACCCAACCGGAGAAUUUGGGCUUUCACCUGGUCGCGGAGGUAGAGGGUGAGGGAAGGACCUCAAUACCACCACCAGAGGAGAACGACGCAGGACCACCGCCGGCAUCGUGACCGCAACAGUCGGCCAAGGGCUUCCCCUGGUCCGUGCUCACUAGGGCUGCAAGAAAAGCUCGAGGCUCAUGAGCCGCUCGAGAUCGACUCGUAUUUUGGCUCGACUCGAGAUUGACUCGAAAAGAAAUGAGUUGAGCAUGAACACUUUAUGCGGCUCGACUGAGAAAUGAGCUGAUCUUGAGUCAACACUAGAUCGCUCGAUUUUAGCUCGAUAGCCCGAUAUCAUAUAAUUGUAUUACCUAAAUUUGAUAUAUAUAUAUUUGAAAAUGGAAAAUUAUUACCAUAUAGACAGUUAUAAAAACAUUACCAUAUAUGUUGUGUGCGAUUUUUCUCCAUAUUACCUACUACCAUACAUAGAAGCUUAAUUAUGUGUGGAGAAAUUUUAGCCCCAAUAUGGUAUGUGGUCAGCCAUGUGCAAAAUAUCAUGUUAUUUUGGUCAAAUUUUGAGAUUAGACGCUUUUGCUAGUUCAUCCAUGAUCUCUUGCUAUUACUACCUCCGUCCGGGUUUAUUAGGCCCCUGGUAUUUUGAGCCAAACUUUGACCAUUCAUAUGAUUAAUAAUAUACAAAAUAUAUGCUACAAAAAGUACAUGGUUGGAAUUGUAUUCCAAAGAGCUUUUCGAAGGUAUAAUUUUUGUGACAUAUAGUUUACAUUUUAUUAGUUAAAUUUUUUGUUCAAACUUUAGCCAAAUAUGAGAAGGGGCCCAAUAAACCCAGACGGAGGUAGUAAGUACUAGUCUUCAGUUGAAAAAUUAUAAGUUGAAUUAUAUAAUGGUUUCUUAUAUUGUGUUUUGGCUUGUCUUGUUUAAUAUUUUUUCUUAUAGGUAAUUUAAAAAAUCAUCUUAUUUAGCUCAAGAUCGGACUCGAGAUCGUUACAAGCUGAGCAUGAGCCAAUUUCUACAGCUUGACCUCGAGCUUCGAUAAGUUCGAGCUUGUCGAAUUUUAGUAUAAGUUGAGCUGAGCCUAAUACAACUCGCUCGAACUCGACUCGUUUGCAGCCCUGGUGCCCACCCAACCCUCCAUCGCCAACCGGCCGCCAGAGCUAGGCACAUGGAUGCCGGCAACGAAAACCGACGGGGCAGGAAGAAGCUUAAGGGAGGAGGCCACCACUCUAGAUCCUCUCAAGGGGCCAACAGGGAGACCCUAGGAGCCAGCUCCAUGUCCUCCGUCGGCCCGCCGCCCAAGCGGCCAGGCACGGCGCCCUUCCGCAUCCACACCGACCACCCACCGACGGGGAGCCGCUGCGCCUCCCGGCAACGACCGCCAUCACAGAUCUGGCGCAUCACGCCAGGAACCACCUCCCGACGCACGCCCAUGGACGACCACCACAGGCCCUUUGCACCGCCGCCAUGCACCAGCCACACUGCACGAGCCUGCCGCCGCACCGCCCCGCCCACUUCUAGCACCGCGCCACCACUCGAUCUCGCCGACCCGUGCCAGCCACCAUUGGAGCAGGGGAAGACAUGCCAUGCAGCCGCGGACACAGACAGAGCUUCGCCGUUCCGCGCGAGCCGGCGGCAGCGAGGGGAGAGGUAGGGGAUGGGCUCGGGGGGCAGCGGCUAGGGUUUCCCCUCCGCGUUGCUCGCACGAGCGACAUGGAGGGGGAGGGGGAGUAGCUUCCAUCCAAUGGUUUGAUAGUUAGCUAGGAUCAGUAGUCUGAUUACAAAAUUAGUUAGGGUGGGUAUCUCAUCACAAGGCAUCAAAUCUCUUAAAUAAUCAUGAGCACUGAUGAGCGAUAUGCAUUCCUUCUAUCACUACAAUUAUACGCAAAUUGUGUGCAAUAGCUUUGAUGUUUGCUAUCUCCACUCACCACAAAACAAAGUUUAUUGAACAACCCAAAAUGAUCAUGGACUCGUAACUGGUGGCUGCUCUCGGCGUCCUCGCGUGGGGUGCAACAGCGGUCACCGGCGGCAUGGCAGUGAGGCUGUGUCGGGGGCGGAGGCUUGUGUGACGUGAUGACCAGAUCCAUCUGCUUGUGUGGAGGCUGGCUGCUACUAGGCAUUGGGCCUGCCACGUCUCGGUGGAGUUAGGCCAAGGGACCAUGGUUGUUGCUGUCAUGCGUGAUGCGGCGUCGUGGGUCUUGGCUGCCGAACAAUUCUGCUUUCCGGCUUCAGAUCCGGCCAUGUCGGUCCCUAGGUCGGUGGCUUGGACAAAACUCUCUUCUGCGAGAUGGCAAUUGACGGUGAUGUGCUGCACGAUUUGGUGCAGUGGCCUCUCCGGGUUGCAAUGGCCACCGAAAGAUCUUUGCGAGAAUUUCUCUCUUCAGAUCCGGUGGUUGUCUUUGAUGGUGAGAUGCAAUAUAUGGACGACAGCUUGACGCAGAGGGUAAGGUUGUGCAGUGGCGGAGAUUGGUUUUGUAGCCCAUCACACGCAGUUGCUAGGAUAGCGAAAAAGUGGUGGCGACAACAUAUGAUUGACUCCGGUGGUGGUGCUUCUCAAGUAUGUGGUCUUGAGCUCCGGGGUGAAAACCUAGGUCUCACACGAGUUGGUCAUACAUGGCAAUGGCGAUGCUUUGCGUCGUGAUCUUGUUGAAGGCAUUGCUCAGAUAAGCUCAGGCUGGUUCUUCAGGGAGAAAACCUAGAAUGAUGGUUGGAUCCGGUGACGGCGGCAUAGAAUGCUGCUCCCUUCGUGAAGGCGUUGCUGUUGAGGAACCUCAUUGUCUUAUGUGUCAUGAGAUGGUUGAUGCGGAUACGGUUGUUGCUGUACAUUGUUGAUUGCAAAUUUUGUUUGAUUUGAUGUUUUUCUCCUCUCGUUUAGGCAUAGCUUUGGUCUUAUAUGACUUUGCUAUGUGCCGGCGGGUUUUUGUGUGUGUGCGUUGGUGUUGACUGUGUGCAUCCUAACUCUCCAGAGGCCGAGUGUAUGCUUACUGUGUUUGUAUCCACUUGAUGCUUCAUUUUUUUUUUGAGGAACAAGAGUAAAGUUACUCAAGAGGAGUACGUUCCGAGAGCAUCAGGGUCUGAAGAGGAUCAGGAACUGACGCGAUCAUAAGUACAUCUCCAUUCAGUCUAGCUAUCGCUGCCAUUUCGUGUGCAAGGUUGUUGCAUUUCCUCCCAACAAAGGUAAUUUUGUGAGAUGCGAAUCUCUACAGUGCUUCUUUGAUGUCAUGGAUUAUCCCAUAGUGCGGAGAGCGAGGCACACCUGGGGCAUUUAGCAAAUCAGUUGCAACCUUGCAAUCCAUUUCCAGCUCCACUGGCCCACGAUACUUUGCUCCCAAAGUCUGCACUCCAAUUAAGGCUGCACGCAGCUCUGCCUCCUCGACACAGCUUGAGGUCGCAAGAUACUUGCCCACUGAAAGGAAUACGUGUCCUUUGUAGUCCCUAGCAACGGCACCAGCCCAGCUUUGCCCACUGUCCGGGAGGAAGGCUGCAUCAGAGUUGAUCUUUGCGAUUCCCCGCUCGGGUGCAGUCCACCUCAUGUGUUCCUGGGUUGCCUCCCGGAUGGUUGUCUCCGUCAGCAUGGCAGGGGCCUUCUCUGAAUCAGAGAUGGGAUUUAGCGCAGCUUGCUGGAGGUCCUCCUCAUAUUUUAACAGGAAGGAGACCGACUGCCUGAUUGUUUCUUUCCCGUUACCAUGGACACAGUUAUCCCUCAGAAACCAGCACCUCCAUAGAAGCAGCAGAAUCCUCGUUUGUGUGGCCUCAGGUACAGUGCUUAGCAGAAGUUGCAGCCAAUCUGGUCCAGUACACCGGAAACAAGCUUCCGGUGGCAGGUCCCAAUCUUUCCUCAGGGCAUCCCUAAGGGCUCUGCUCUUUGUACACUCAAUGACUGCAUGAAAUUCAUCUUCCUCUCUACAACCACAUAGAUUGCAAGUAUUAUCCAACUCCAACGUUCUUCUGAACUUGUUCUUUUUCGUUGCUAGUGUAUUUGUUGCGAUCCUCCACCCAGAUAUUCUUACUUUAGGUGGAACCCUUCCCAAAUGCUCCUAUCUUGCGCUGUCCCGGAUGAGCUAGAUGUUGCAGGAACAGUUUGGCCUUUGAGUGAUGCAGCAAGCUUAUAAGCGCUUUUUACUGAAAACACACCGUUCCGCUCGCAGUGCCAAGCAAUACAGCCCUCCACCUCGGCGCUCAGAAUGCGGACUUUGCAGAUCUCUUCCGCAUCGAAGUCAUGAAAGAUUUGCUUAAUGAGAUCAACAUUCCACUCCUUCCUAUCCGGGAGCAUUAGUUGGUUCACCCAUCGGAGUCUCGAUCUCCUCACAAACGCAGCUGUUUUAAGACCUUCAUUUCUAGGAAUCCACUGAUCUCUCUGUAUUUGGAUGUUCUUUCCAUUUCCCACCCUCCAGAUGAUUCCUUUCUUAAGUAAUUCCAGGCCAGCCUCUAUCCCUCUCCAGACCGGUGACGCAUCUGACGCAAAAACAGUGUCAAGCAGAUUGCCAUGCGGGUAGUACUUUGACUUGAUCACUCUGGCGCAUAGGCUAUCCGGAUUUUGGAGGAGUCUCCAACUCUGUUUAGCUAGAAGAGCUAGAUUGAAAAGGUGCAUGUCUCUGAAUCCUAUACCUCCCGCUCGUUUUGGCUUUAUCAUACGUUCCCAAGACAUCCAGUGUACUUUCCUAUGGCCCUCCUCUUCUCCCCACCAAAAGUCUCUAAUCAUCCUUUCGUAUUUCUCGCAAAAGCCUUUCGAGAAGAGGAACAUACCCAUUGUGUAGCACGGUAGUGCCUGAACUAUAUUUCACGUGAACUUCUUUUGCUGCAUACGACAUGAAGUUCUCAGAGACGUCACUGCAUCUUUUUCCGAAUUUGUCCAUGAUAGGCUGGAAGUUUUCAUCCUUCAUCCUGCCCUCGGGUGUGGGUAGUCUGAGGUACUUGCUCUCAAAUGCCACGGCCACUACCCCCAGCACGUUUUUGAUUUCAUCUCUGGUACUUGCUGGGCAAUGUUCACUGAAUAAGAGUGAGCAUUUGCUCUCACUCAACAAUUGCCCAGUACACUUCUGGAAUAUGUACAACACUUUCCUCAUGGUAACCGCUUGUUCCACCGUGGGUUUGAAGAAUAACAGACUGUCAUCGGCGAACAAAAGGUUGGAUAUGCCCGGGCUAUUCCUUGCAAUUUUAAUAGGUGUCAGAUUUCCUUCCUCGAUCUCCUUAUUGAUGAGCCUGACCAGGCCGUCCGCUACGAAGAGAAAAAGAUAGGGGCUAAGAGGGUCUCCCUGUCGCAGCCCCCUGGUUGGGAUGAAAGGAGCCAGAAGUUCCCCAUUAAACCUUACUGAAUAUCUGACCGUACGCACACAUUGCAUGACCCAGUUAAUCCACUUCUGGCGGAAGCCACAUCUUUCUAGUGUCCCCUCGAGGAAUCUCCAAUCAACCCUAUCAUAAGCUUUUGCCAGAUCUAACUUGUAAGCACAGUGGGUAUUAUGACUGAUUCUGCUGUGUUGGAUUUUGUGAAAACACUCGAAGGCAAUAGUAGCAUUAUCAGUUAUCAUGCGUCCCGGGAUGAACGCGCUCUGAGUCUUUGAUAUGAUCUCAUCCAAGAAAGGACGAAGUCGGUUUACUAGGCACUUGGAUAUCACUUUGUAAAUGACGUUGCAAAGACUAAUGGGUCUGUAAUCCUUCAGCGAUUGUGGGUCUUUGCCUUUUGGAAUAAGAACAAUGAUAGUAUCAUUAAUCCCUUCUGGUAAGUCAUCAUUCUCAAAGAAAUUUAGAACUCCUCUUAUCACAUCCUCCUUUACCACAUCCCAAUUCUGUUGAAAGAAGCGUGCUGGAAAACCGUCCGGCCCGGGAGCUUUGAGAGGUCCAAUCUGAAACAAGGCGUCGGAUAUUUCCUUGGGUGAGAACGGUUUUGUAAGGACAAUGUUCAUAUCCUCUGUGAUGCACUUUUGGACAAGGUCUAGUAGACCAUCAGGGACCACAUCAGUCUCCUGCUUGUAUAGCUCCUGAAAGAAAUUCCUCGUCAUAUCAUGUAGAUCCUCUCUGUUUUCUAUCCACACUCCUGCACUAUUCUUCAGUUUUGAGAUGUCAUUCUUUUUCUUCCGCCAUGUUGCUUUCCACUGGAACCAUUUAGUGUUUCGAUCGCCUUCCCUUAGGUAUAUGGCCCUCGAUCUUUGCCUCCACAUGAUUUCUUCCCUCAGCAAGAGUUCAUCUAGUUCAGCUGAGAGUUUUUUGAUCUCUCUCUGGUUAGCUUCCGACCAUUGGUCGUUCCAUAAAUAGCUUAAUCUCUUCCGAAUCGAUGCUGACUUCUUUAUUACUGACCCAAAGUCUCUGUUGGCCCAGCCUUUUAAAUCUUGCUGCAUGCGACUGAUUUUGCUGCACACUUCCUGUAGGUUGUUUGCUGUAGCUGUGUGGUUCCAUCCCUCUUCUAUUGCCGUUUUUAGGGAUGCAGCUCGUUCCCACAUGUGCUCGUAUCGGAAAGGACGUUGUAUCUUUUCUCCUACCGGCCUCCAUUCCUUCCGUCCUCCCAGUCUCAAGAGGAUUGGCAGGUGGUCCGAGCGGGAGGAACAGAUGUGUUCAACCGUUGCAUACUUAAAAUGUUCAGACCAAGAAGGGGUAGCAACUCCUCUAUCCAACCUCGCUCUUACAUUGUUGCGUCCGUCUUGCUUGUUGUUGUAUGUCCAGAUAGGUCCUUUGUAUCCCAGGUCCAUCAGGUUGCACUCUGACAGUACCUUUCUAAAGUUUUCCAUGUUCCUCUCUGACCUCUUUGCUACUGAAAUGUGUUCAGAUUGACACAUAGUUUCAUUGAAGUCACCUAUCAUCAUCCAGGGAGCACUAGAAUUAGGUUUGAUUCUACGCAAAAGAUUCCACAUAUUAUGUCUUUCAUGAGCCUUUGGUUCGCCGUAAACAAAUGUACCACGCCAUUGUAUCCCAUUUGAGCUCAAACGGAUCAGCACAUCAUUAUACCUCGGUCCAACGGCAAGCUUUAUUACUUCCACAUUUUCAUCAUAGAAAAGCGCGAUGCCGGCACUUUUUCCAGUGCCCGGCUGCGCAAUACAGUGUUUGAGGCCAAGCCUCCACUUCAGAUUAUUAACGUACGGGGUGCUUUGCCGCGUUUCAGAGAGGAACACCACCUUGGGUUUGUACGUAUGCACGAGGCAUACGAGUUCUUGGACUGUCCGGGGUUGCCCAAGUCCCCGGCAGUUCCAACUUAGGACCGUCAUUUGCCCUGACGGGCACCGCCAUUAGCGCCCGUCAGUGUGCCGGUAGCCCCUGAGCCGGUCGCUUCCGUUCCACCUGAACCUUCCAUGCUUUUGUCCUCUCCCUCUGUAUCACCUGUCUUAUUCUUUUUGCUCUUGUCCUCUCUCUUUCCAUUGGUGCCUGUACUAUCCUUGUGUUUGUCGCUGCCCGUACCACGAUCCCCACGCUUUCCCAGAACCGAGGAUGAUCCAUCAGCUGGUUUUACACCCGGUUUCCUCAGCACCAGCAGAGUGUUCUUGUCAUUUGUUUUGUGAACCCCAUUAGCUUUCACCUUUUCCCCUGAGCCACAAACCUGCUGCUUGCCUGCAUCCUUCUUGACUGUCUGGUUCUCUGCCUGUACCUCCUGCUUGUGCUCAUUUUCCACAUCGCCAAUCUGCAUUCCGUUCUGCAGCUGAUCUUCAGGCCCCCCAACGAUCAGGCCCUCAAGGUUGGCCUGGGGAGCCGGCGGCGCCAGGGUUGGUGAAGGGGCAGUCGCCAGGUCCGAACGAUAGCGAGGAACGGGGCCAAAGCCCGGAGGGGCUUCCAUGCUGGACUCUUUGGAACUCUGAUCGUCGUUCGCUUCAUGAGCAUCAACGAUCGAGCGAGGUGGGGAAUUGUUGGUGGCGGCCCCCUCGUCGAUCGCAGCAGGGACAGAGUCCGAAGUAGGAUGUGGAGGGGUUUUGUUGGUGUUGGACCCCCUCCACCUCCAUUCCAAGUUUUGAAUCUGGCGUCUCCUCCGUCGUGCUUUUUCCAGGUCCGAGCCUGAUGGCACUAACCGCUGCAAUCGCAGCCUGCACCGUCGGGUCCAUCAGCACAUCCUCAGGGAUGUCCAUGCUAUUUCCUGCUGCAUGCCUCUCCGAUUCUGCUCUUAUCCCACAUCCGAGCUCCGAGUCAAAGUGCAGAUAGCGACGGGCGUUGACAGUGCCAAGGUUGACAUAGCUAUUCCUACCAUUACUGUGCUUGAAAGGAGAAGCGUGCAAUGCCACCGAGAACCUCAUCUUUUGGAGGUCUACGGGUAGCUUACAAUCGCGCUGGCUAUGACCGAGGAAACCACAGUAGCUACAGAAACGAGGGACUCUCUCAUAUUUGACCUCUAGGAAGAAAACUUCAUUUUCAGCAAAAUCAUGAGACUCUAAGGUGCUACAGAGGGGCUCAUCUACAUCAUGGUUAAUGCGGAUUCUGAGAUAGUCGCCCAUAUAUUACCUUCCCUGUCCGUGUGCACCUCGAGCACUUCACCGAGCCUUCUGCCGAUCACACGCGCCACUGGUUCAGAGAGCAUGAUCGGGGGUGCAUCAUAGAUGCGAACCCAAAUCGGCAUGUGCGCGAUCUCCACGUCGCUUGGCCUGGCGCUCCCGUCCACUGCGGUCACCAAGAAGGCGUCUCCGCGGUGUGUCCAUGGACCAUUUCUGAGGAUGAAUCUGAGGAUGAACUUGAUGCUUCAUUUUGAGUCAAUAAAAUCCAUCCUUUAUCAAAAACUAGAGCUGUUAGCCAGAUUCACAUACACAACCUCGGCGGUUGGGCUAGCUAGCUACCAGAACGUGCUCGUUAUAAUGAGAGCGAUGGAGCAGUCCUUAAGGAACUUGGCGUCCUCCGUGGCCAGUGGUGAAGUCACGCCUAGCACGCGGAACCCAUUCUCACGCGUGUAGGUGUCCGAUACCACGGCGUUGACCGUUGAGGUUCGCCGCCGGGAAAAUAUCGUGUACUCCCAACUGAUGGUGUGCUCCGGCUACACCACAUGAACACCAACCGUUAGAUACAUAUUGUAGGCACAGGAUCCAACCCGAACGCUCCAUCCUUGGAAAUUUGCAAAAGACACCCCAGAUGCGUACAGAAUUAGUGUAUUUCCCCUGUCACCUACCUCCAAGCCGUGCGACUGUUCCCAAAUUAGACAAGGAGCACGAACAGGUUAGGGCUUGGGGCCUCCGUCGGCGGACCUGCGACGCUGGGCGAACGAGGUCGCCGCAGCGCUGACGUACUGUGCUCCGACGUCCUGGGGAAACUCCCCGCCAUUCUCCACCUCGCCCUCCCUCUUCCCGAUCCGGCGCCUAGCUUCGCCGUCCAUCGACGCUGAAGAAAGGAACUCCAAUCUUCAGGUAUGUUGUUAGAUUUUACAACCUUGUGUUAUUUUGUGAGUUUGGUUGUAAUCCAUCGUCCCCUUUAUGCUGAUUUUGUGAGAUGUAGCUAAUUCUAGCUUGAAAAAAAAAAGAUGCAGCAAUAUCUCUCUGUAUUGUACCAGGCGUAGGAAAUUAAUCACUGAAAUAUAUGCUAUAUUUUACUCGGAUUAGUAUUCGAGCAAUUAGGUGUUCCUAAUUGUUCAUUGCCUCAUUGCAUAGAAAUUGCUCAAACACUAUACAAUUUCAGCAACUCAUUGCCUGUACAUGAGUACAGACUAAUUUCAGUGGUAUUGUACAAUUUCAGCAACUCAUUGCUGAAAUUAACAAUUUGCCAGUACAGUGCUGUACUGAUUACUCCAAUUAGGUGAUGAGUACAGACUAAUUUCAUCUACCUGUUCAAGUAUCUGGAGAUGAAGUGCUUGUUGGCAAGAUCGAGAUUCAUAUGCCCGUGCAAUGUGUAUGACUUCACCAAUUUCUGAGAGUUCACUUUCUAUUGGUUUAGUAUAUUCCAUUCGACUAAGCUGGUGUUGUUUUGGUUUACUGAAUUAACUAUCUUAGCUCUUUAGCACCAUUUUCACAACACUCUUGUUGCUUAGUACAUAUAUGUGCCCAGUGCAGUCAGAUAUUUCUCUCUUCACCACUUUGCCAUGGAAUUGUUGUUUUUUAGACUACAAUGUGCUGCAGCUAUCACACGAAGCUAACUCUUAGGAGCAAAGUAAAGUUCAAUAAUUUGAAUCCUUUGUUGGAACGACAUAAUUUAAAUAGUAUAUCUUUUGUCAGGUUUUCACAAUACACUUUUCUUCUUGUUUGCAGAGCAAGUAGCGUCCGAGAAGGGUCACCAUCAAUCAGUACAUUAUUCUAGUUACCUUCUAAUUUGAUAAAGGUCGUAUGCCCCUUCGUAUGCUCUUGAUGGUUGGUAAGCACCGUGAAGUGCCUCUCCUUAUCAGCAACAAUUGAGACCAGGAAGAUUCAUCGCCAGAUUUGAGACCAGGAAGAUUCAUUGCCAGAUUUGACUCUUGUGCAUCUCUGUCGUAACUAUCUAAGUUCCUAGUAUGUGCUUACCUCGAUGGCCCGUGUGCUUCCUUGCUUCAGAACAAUAUGGAGCAAUUACCUAACGUCGUGCUUAUAUUUUGUAAAACUAGAAGUGCUCUGGUUGAAUGUGGCACUAUGUAACUAUGUGUUACUGGACAUGUUCACUAAUUCUGUUAUUAAGUGAAACCUGGACCUAUAUAUUUGCUACCAGUGAUGUUCCAUCUUAAUGCCUGCUAUGCUAAAGUUUUUCGGCACAAUUAGUUUAUCAUGAUGAUGUCCACUUUAAUUUUUCAACAUUUUGCUAAAUUUUUACUAGGGUGUAGUUUUUUUUAGUAAACCCGUGGUCUGUACUAUGGUCAUUUUGCUCCAUCGGGAAGCAUUUUGCCUCUGAAGUGCUAAAUUUGUUCUGAGAUGAUUCAUAUACUAUUUCAGAUUUGGAAGAGAAAUAUUCAAUGACGUGUUACUUUCUAAUUUGACAAAGGUGGUUAAUAUACCUGAUGUUGUUGUCUUUCCAUUUUCUGCUGCUGAUUUUAUCAAUUGAAGUCUUGGUUCAUGGACUUGCUAAUUCUUUAUACUCUUUGAAUCACCUUUACCUUCUUAAAUCAAUUUGUUGAAUGUUUGUCUUGAGCACUUCCUACGGAAUAUAUGUCUACUUUGUAUAUUGUCUUGCAAAAUUCAUGAAGCUAUCUGUACCAUAGAACUACCACUCAAAAGAAAAUGUACCAUAGAAUUGUUGUUGUGCAUAUAUGUGUGUGUGCGCGGAUCAGUUGAAUUCCUGGGCCUGAAACGAUCAGCUAACGAGGUAUAGGAUGUGCCUUUUAUUUCUGUUCCAAACCCAGGGCAGCACAACUUCUGGAGCUAGAUUAUUGGACUGUUGCAGUUUUUCUGUACUUAUGUAGGGUGGUUGCUGCAAAUUCCGCACGAUGGGACGUCCACACUCUAUCCUGUAGCUACAUAUUCCAACCAAGGGCUCUGAUGUGGCUGGUGCAGCCGGAGUACUCCAUGCUUGGAAGUACAGGAUAUGCUCUCGCUCGCCGCCACCUCGAGCAAGUUGACCGCGGCUGAGUACAGCACGCGGCAAUCAGAAAGGCGCGCAUUUUAUUUAUUUUUUGAAAAGGAGGAUGUACCCCCGGCCUCUGCAUCUGGGCGAUGCAUGCAGUCAUUUUAUUAAUUAUUCGCAAAGACCGUACGAACUAAUACAUCAGUACGCCUAAAGCGACCAUCCAGGCAACACCUGUUGCUACUCCUAUCCCUUUGAUGAAGGGGUGCCGAUUGUCCGAGCCUAAUACCAAACAAACAUCGCACCAAAGUCUAACAUCUAACGUCGGAUGCCCCAGCCUAGCCACAUACCGGGACUGGGUCACACACCGGUCCGGCGCACUCACAGAGGGCACCACAUGCGCACCCUGCAAGGCCCGACAUCAUCGUCUUCCAUCGAUCCAUCUUCAGAGCAGAAACUUACGCAUCGACCGUGCCAGGGCUCUCUGUCAUCAACGCCACCACGACGCCAGAUACUCGUCCUCCUGCGCGAGUUCAUCCCCGCACAUCGGACGCCGAAUUUGCACCGCGCCACGCCGUCGAGAUCCGUCGCCAUCAAUGUGUAGGAUGAAGCACCGCUCCACCAAAGUUGCGGUCCACUAGUCCCUCGAGUUCGUGCACACCUCGAAGAACGACGUCCCCAGGGGGAAACGACACGAGCGUCGCCGUCUUCCGAUCAACUAAUCUAGGGUUUCCCCCGGAGGUAGCAGAUAUUGGCCGAGAACUUCUCCACGACGAUGCCUCAAGAAGGGAAUGACACCGAAGAGCGCCGCCAUCGUAGGUCUUUGCAUCUAGCCGAGAGCAGGUUUUCACCGAGAUCUGUUCGAAGAACUUCAUCCGGCUUUUUGUGCAUGGAUCGCCACCUUCUAUUCCGGGGACCGGACCAAAAGGACCCAGCCACCACCGCAUGACCGGCCACGGCACCACCACGGUGGCAGAGCAGCCGGUUACGUCAGGCCCAUCGCGCUAGCCCGCCGCGCCACACCAGAUCCAUCGGUCCGCCUAAGCCCAUCUGGGCCCGACGAGAUCCGAGGUUCAGGCCACUGCCACAGGGGCGCCGCCGCCGGGAUCCCGCCGCACCGCGCCGCCGAAUCACCGGAGUGUCCAUGUCGCCGACGCCAGAUGGAGACACCACCGUGCGCGAAGGAGAAGUCCCCGCCGCCGCCGUCACGGCCAACGGCCAGGGCUUCGUCGGCGUGAACUCGGGCGGCGGCGGGAGGGAGAUCGGGGCGAGGAGGCCUAGGGUGCGGCGGCGCGUUCUCCCCCGUGUCGCCAAGGGCUGGCGAUGCGGGGGUCAGGCUUUGUCAGAAAGGUGCGCAUGGAUCUUCUUGUCCUUCUCUAAAGCCAUGAGGGUGUCGAUUCGCUUGAGGGUGUCCGAUGCUGCUGCGCGACUGAUCUGUGUGGCGACGACGCCAAGGCCGUGGUUAUUGGCGGUGGCGCUGGCUUUGUCAGCUUGGAAAAACUUGAUGCAAUAGUCGUAGCCGAUGUCCUUGUUAGUUCUGGCGACGUACUUGCACAUGUGAUCUAGAGUGGAAGCGCUGCUGGACGAGACGAGGGUCAAGAGGAUACAACAGGAGAGAGAUUGCCAAUGCUUCCUCAUGGUUUGUUACUUUGUGCCACGAUUACGGAUUGCCUUACCUUGAUUGAUGAGUAUCCCUAUGUGCUGUUUAUGUAUGUAUGGUGUUUCUUUGAUAAUACUCCCUUCGUUCCUAAAUACUUGUCUUUCUAGGCAUUUCAACAAAUGACUACAUACGGAGUAAAAUGAGUGAAUCUACACUUUAAAAUAUGUCUACAUACAUCCGUAUGUGAUAGUCAUUUGAAAUGCCUAGAAAGACAAGUAUUUAGGAACGGAGGGAGUAAAUCGUAUGAACUUCGAUGGUGAAUAUAUAUAGCCCUGCUCGUACGUAAAAUAUGGAAAUACUUGAUUAGUAUAUAUUUUUUUGGAAUCCAAUAACUCCCGAACAUUCGGAUUUUGAGCAUUUCGUCCCGAACGUUUUUACAUGGCAACUUUAGUUCAUAGGGGAUGGCAACUUUAGUUGAUAGGGGAUGGCAACUUUAGUUGAUAGGGAUGGCAACUUUGUCUUUUUUCGUUUUUUUUUCAGAAAAUUGCCAUGUUUCCCUAAUCUCAUGUAAACUAAACUUGCCAUCUAAAACGUUCGGGUUGCCAUGCUUAAAUCCCGAACGUGCGGGAGUUAUCAUUACCGAUUUUUUUCGAAAAGGGGCACUUUUAUUACUUGAUUGGUAUAUACUAUUAAUCUUUGGGAGAAAACCGAUUGAAAAGGGCAAGUAUAAUGAGUAUAUGUUAUAAAUUUUGCUAUUUAUAAAUAAAAACAAAAUCAUUUUAUUUCUUUUCCACGGACCGAAUAACCGUCCAUAUCUUGUUCCCAAAUUGGCCAAGGCAGGCAGACAAAUGCCUGCACAAUUUAGGCGUGUUUGGUUGCCCGCAUUAGGCCCAGCCUGGCCCGCGCGGGAAGAAUUUGGCUCGUUUGGUUUCCUGUGUUAACUGUGCGGCCCGCAUCGCACGAAACUUAAAGCACGUCCAGGCCAGGCCCAGGGGAAACGCACGAAUCGGCAGUAGCUCGCGAGCCUGGCUCGGGCGAGGCAGGGGAGGGCGACGCGCUUCUCCCCUCGUGCGAGCAGGAGAGAUGGCGCGAGCUCGCCCGCGUCGCCGAAAAUUCGGCGGGAGGAUUUCGGCUCACCUCCCGUCGAGUCCACCCCUAUUUAGCCCCUCCCUCACCGCCCCAACUCCCGCCACCAUUCUUCCUCCGUUCGAGCUUUCCCGCCGACGCGCAUCAGCACCGACGAGCAAGUAAGCGGCACAUCUUCAUCGGCCGGCGGUCCACGGCGUCAGCGCUCCUUCACCGGCCGGCGUUCAUCUUCCACGUCCGUCCCCCCUCGUCCUCAAGCUGCAGCCAUGGCCUCCGUGAGUUCAAUCCCCCUUUCUCUCUGUUCCUUCUAGCUAGAUCUGAGCUGCAGCUAGGGUUUGAUCUGGAUGUAUGGUUGAUUAGUGGUCUAAUCUAUGAGCUGAUAUGGUUGAUUGCUAUGCUGCGGUUGCAAUUUAUGAUAGGGCUAGAUGUUCAAGCAUGUGGUAGGCUAGAUUAAUAGUAGAGUUUGAAGUUGAACCCUUUUAGUUAGUGUUUUUUAAUAUAAAGUGUAGUGUCACCCUUUUUCUGACAGAUAGUGUUGCCCUUAGUGUAAAGUCUAAUAUCGUCUUUCGUGUGUUUGCCUUCUCCUUUCGCCAUGUCAAAAUACGUGGCAUGGUGGCCCCAUAUUUAGAAAAUCUUCAUAUCAUGUGGCCUAAGAAACCUCUUGUGAUGCCCCGAGACCAAAGGAUGAGAAGCUCAAGGGGAUUUGGGGAUCUUGCGAUGACAAGGAUUCCCGCAAUUGAUUUAUCAGAUACAAUGAAGAAAGAGCGACAAAAGGGCUAAAUCAAUCUUUAACAAAAACUUAAAUCAGUCUAAUUUUAGUUCUUCUUUCUUCUCAUUCAUGGCAUAGCUGGAUAAAUACAGGUUUUUUUGCGCAAAAGCUGGAUAAAUAUAGUUGGAGAGUACUUCCUCCGUCCGAAAAUACUUGUCCUAGAAAUGGAUGUAUCUAGACUUACUUUAGCUAUAGAUACAUCCAUUUUAUUCAUUUCGAGGACAAGUAUUUCCGGACGGAGGGAGUACAAAGUAAUUAAGUGUAAUGGUGAAUUUGUAACUUAAAUGUUGUUACACUACAUAAUUAACCUUUCAACCUAAAGAGAACGUAAGGUUCUGUGUUCGGCUCGUUGUUCAUCCAACCUUAUGCACGUCCCUCCUCCCUCUCAUCUUCCUCUAUCUAUUUUGAAUUUUUUUCGUUUUCACCAGUUUUCCCUGAAAACUGCAUCAACGGCUUCACCUUUUAUUAACUUACAAAUAUAAACGUUGUGUAACAUGUCGGUUGUUGGAUGGCAAGCUCCUCGUAAACACCUUGUAUAUUUUAAAAGAAUUAUCUAUUUGUGUUAACUAAUCAUAAACCAGAAACACCUAUGAAGAUGUUUUAUAUACUGUUAACUUUAAAGAUCUCUGCCAAGAUACUUAAGGACACACACACACACACACACACACACACACACACACACACACACACUAUAUCCUUGUAAGUGUCACAAAUUAUUAUGAGAAGCCAUGUUAAUUUGUAUAUCUUAUUUUUGUAACAUCUAAGAGGUCUCGUACAAGUUUUGUAAGAUGUAGCAUAUAAAAAUACCAAAAUUAAUGUAAGUCAUAUUUAUACAUUAUAAGUUCACAUAAUAUUUAUUUUUGUUAUUUUAUGCAGAUGAGUUAUAAAUAAGUAUAUAAGUAUCUAGCUUGGCGUACAUGUUCAAUGGUUGACUAUCUAAAAUUCGUCGCCUACUCUGAUGUUAAAAGCUAAUUCAAAUAUCUUCAUCAUUCUUGUUCUUGUUCUCCUGCUCAUUAAUCAAUGGAUAAUACAAUACAAAUCUGUCCAUAUGGUGGCUGGUGGUACAAUUUCAAAUCUAACUCAUUAAUCGAUACUAGCUACUGUUAGUUUGAUGGGGCUUCGCAUGGCACUCCGUUGAUGGCAAACUUUGCAAGCAGUGGAGAAAAUGUAAGCUGCUUAUGAAAUGAGAUACAUAAGUAGCAUGUUAAUUACAACAUGGGUAAGCAAAUGAUGUUUUGCAGGUUUGCUAAAGUACAUGAUUGUCUAUCUAUCAAACAAAUGUGAUAUGCAUCAGGAAUAAGAACCCUAGAUCAAUAAAUAUACAAUAUCGUUCGGAUGAAAUGUAUGCUUAUGUAUCACACAAUAAAACAAAACCACAAGCUUCUUAUAACAAAAUAAGAGACUUAAGCAGAUGAUGUUUUGCAGGUUAGAUAUACUGUAUGCCCCAGGAGUAAGAACACGGGUUAGAUAAAUCUACGAUAUUCUUUAGAUGAAACGUAUGCUUAUAUGAAUCAAAGGAACUUGUUGUACACCAAAGAUGGCGCGGAAACAAUGAUGUCCAACACGAGUUUGGUCGCCAAAGCAGCUUUGCAUGUGCCAACGCUCAUUCCUGUGUGGCACCUCUACUGGCCGCUUCUUCUUCAAAUCCGACAUAUGUAAGCCACUUAAGUUGAUCUCCCACGCUUUCUUGUAUGCAUUGUGUGCCCAUGGCCAUCGAGCCGUGGUAGCAGUUAGGCAUUUCGAUGAUUUUAAGUCCUUCUAGAAAGGCAUGUGUGGUGUAAGUGUUGUGUAAUGUGUAUUUCUUACAUGGUCAGGGAUGUCUCUUGUUGAAUAGGUUCCAGAGUGUAGCCAUCGUUUCUAAUUCUUGUUUGGUCACUAUCAUGAUUUCUUAAACAUGGUAACAUGAAUUUAGAGUUCUGGAGUAGCUUCCUUUCAAAUGAGUCCUUAGCAUGUUUGUCAUGUUAUCCUAAUUAAUUCAGGCAUUGUUUGUUUGUUUGUUUGUUUGUGAGUCGCUUCUGAUGUGCUGCCAUCAACCAUGCUGCUCAUGUUAACUCCUCUUGUAUUGUAUGCCCUUCCAGUGGAAUUCUAUUUUUGCCUUUGUUGCUUGCUUAUGUGCAAGCUGUGUGCAAAUCUAUUUUUAUGUUUCUCACUUGUGUGCGGCUUUGCUUGGCCAAUCCUAUAUUUUUAUGGAUAAGAUUGCUCACAAGCUUUGGUGUCUGCUCUUAGUCGGACUCGUGCUCUUUACUUACAAAGGACACCAAAUCACUUGCUGCCAAGUUAGAUAUAGACUCUUAGCUCAUUUAAAUUGGUUUUUGUUUUGCCAGAAACAAAAUUAUUGCAGUCUUGCUCUAUGUUUGAUUGUCAGAUGUUUUCUAUCCUAGUUCAACAAAUGGGCGCUUCUUUUAUUUUGCUAUGCUACAUGAUCGAGUUGUAGCUAAACAUUUUUUGUUGUUUGCUAGGUUGCAUCAGAGCUGGGAGCUGGUGCAAAAUCAUGCCUGCUCUCCCCGAGGCCCCUUCCUCCUUUGACACCUCCGACGAACGCUUCUUCCCCGACUACGGCCUAGGUGAGCCACUUGCUUCUUUUCCUUUGCAUGCUUACUCUCCUGCUCUGUGUGUCCACGGCCAUUGAGUCGUGGUAAUUGGGUGUUGGCCAUCGCGCCAUGGAAAUUUCUGGGGUUGGGUUCGGGGCUGUGGUGACAGUGUCUACUAUAAUCUCCAAUUUUGUUUUUGUGAAUGAACGACGAUCGAUCUUCCUUGUGGAUGAUUUUUCAUCUCUUGUAACUGUGUUGGGCCCUUUUUUAUCACUGUAUGCUGACAGGAUUUGAUUGUUAGUCUUGAGUGGCAACGUACGGCUUAACUGAAUCUUUAAUGUACUUACAAGGUACUACUCUCAUGUAUUGUUACGAGUCGACAUACGCGUGCACGCUUGAGGUAUCUCUAGCAAGUUUAUAUUUGGGUUUACAAAAUCCCUUAUAUAAUUUUGCUCCAACACAAAGUGCAAUAGUGACAGAUAAGCGUUCAGAUAAUGUUGAAUGUGUAUAAGAAAAUGUUGGUCACUUAUUAAAAAAUUGACAUAUAAGAAAACAUAGAGUGAAAACAAAAACAAACAUAAGAAAAAAUAAAAAAUAAAAAGCAAAAACUGGAGAAGAAAUGUUAGACGUGCAUUUGAAAAAUAUUGUUGACAUAUACAAAAAAUGGAGUUGACAUAUCAAAAUAAAAGAAAGAAAAAGGAGAAUAAAAAACCCAAAGAAAACGGAGAAGAAAAAUACAAGAAUAAAAAAGGAAAAAUCUCGAAGAAAACGGCUCAAGUAGCCUAAGUAGGUGGUGUCGGUGUCAAAACCGGCGGAUCUCGGGUAGGGGGUCCCGAACUAUGCGCCUAAGGCUAAUGGUAACAGGAGGCGGGGGACACAAUGUUUACCCAGGUUCGGGCCCUCUCGAUGGAGGUAAUACCCUACUUCCUGCUUGAUUGAUCUUGAUGAUGUGAGUAUUACAAGAGUUGAUCUACCACGAGAUCGUAGAGGCUAAACCCUAGAAGCUAGCCUAUGAUUAUGAUUGUUGUUGGUCCUACAGACUAAACCCUCCAGUUUAUAUAGACACCGGAGGGGGCUAGGGUUACACAGAGUCGGUUACAGAGAAGGAGAUCUACAUAUCCGAAUUGCCAAGCUUGCCUUCCACGCAAAGGAGAGUCCCAUCCGGACACGGGACGAAGUCUUCAAUCUUGUAUCUUCAUAGUCCAACAGUCCGGCCAAAGUAUAUAGUCCGGCAGUCCGAGUACCCCCUAAUCCAGGACUCCCUCAGUAGCCCCUGAACCAGGCUUCAAUGACGAUGAGUCCGACGCGCAAAUUGUCUUCGGCAUUGCAAGGCGGGUUCCUUCUCCGAAUAUUCCAUAGAAGAUUUUGAACACAAGAAUCGUGUCCGGCUCUGCAAAACAAAUUCCACAUACCACCCUAGAGAGUAUAAUAUUCCACAAAUCUGAUCUGCUGACAACUUUUCACAGCGUGACAUCACGCCGCGGCCCGGUCUUUAUACGAACCGUUUUUCCCAGCCUGCUACUGCACGUAUUGCGAGGCGGUUUUAUUGGCACGUCUUGUCGAAGCAGAGAUCGUGUCCCCCUUAUCACGGGAUUCUCAUCAAUACGGGCAUGGGUAACCCAAUCGUGUUAUUAGUAUGACUCCUCGGCUUUAGGUAAGUUCCAAACGGUCACGCGGAGGACGCUUGAUAUUCAUCCUCUUUAUAAAGAGGUCCAGGCCCGUCCUUUUCUUUCCACGCCCAAUCCUUCCCUUUCCCUACCUCGAGUUCCAACACCCAAGGUUCAGGCUAAGCACUUCGGACCUUCAAUCAUGUCUGGAUCCAACAUUCAAGGCCGGUGGAUGGCCUCUUCUAUCACAGAGGAGGACAUCAAAAAGCUUAGGUAGGCUAGGUAUCUGACUACCAAAAUCCCCCACAGGCUACCUGCUCAAGGGCGGGUUAUCCCCACUCCCGAGCCCAACGAGAGUGUCGUAUUUGUUUCCCACUUCCUUCGAGGGCUCGGCUUUAGUCUUGAUCCCUUCGUAAGAGGGCUCAUGUUCUAUUACGGGCUAGAUUUCCAUGAUCUAGCUCCAGAUUCCAUCCUUCACAUCUCGUCGUUUAUCGUCGUGUGUGAUGCCUUCCUCCGCAUUACCCCACACUUCGGCUUAUGGCUCAAGACCUUCAAUGUGAAGCCGAAGAUGAUCGAUGGGUGACAUGCGGAGUGCGGAGGCGCUAUAAUAAGCAAGGGUGCCGACGCCCUAUGGCCAAAGGGCUCCUUCCCAGAGGUGUCCGACCUGUGGCAACGGGAGUGGUUUACAUCACAGCCCCCCGGGGUACAAAGUGGGCGGCCGCCCCAGCCUUUCGCCCAGGCCCUCCGCCCCAACUGGCGUCAUGGGUCAACAAAGGGCUAGACUGGGAGCCAAUUAAUGACGUGCUGACAUUGCAAAGCUGCAUCCGAUAUCUUCUCAGGAGGGAUGUCAGUCUUGUCAAAGUAAUGCAAGUAAUGCUGGUUCGUCGGGUCCUGCCAUGCCAACUUCGAUCUCUCCGUAUGUGGGAGUUCAACCCGGAAGGACCGCGAACCAUUCAACACUUCUUCGGCAUGACGCUCGAAGGGAUGUAUGGAUUGUUCUUCAGAUCGCGAAUAAAGUUUCCGGACACCACCGAGGAUGCAGGUCUCAACUGCAAUCGUCCAGAUACCCAAGUAAGUAAUUCCGCGACCGAACUUGUUGUCUUUAUAUCUGUCACCACAUUAUUCUGAUAAACUACCCUCGGCCAGGACUGGAUAAGAAAGGCGAAGAGGAUCAGGUGUUCGGCCCCCCUUCCCGAAGGCUCGCCGGAUCCUGUACUAACCAGGAUGCUUGAGCGCGCACCCUAUCAAGUGCCAUCAGGAGAAGAUGAAGGGAGGAAUAGAGAAGCCGAGAGCGGGCUUCAUACAUUACGCAUCCAAACUGGGGGAAUUAGUACCUCCGCAAAGGAGGGUGAUCGGGGAGGUAAAUCCAAAAUCCCCUCUCCCCAUGGGAAGAAAAGGGGCGCCCCUGAAGAUUCGGAAACGGAGGCUUCCAAACGAGGGAAGAAACCUUCGCCAGGGGGCCCCGGGCCGAAGGGCAUCCUUGGCGCACAGCGCCCGCAAGGGGGCCAGCCAUCAACCGAGCCGUAAGUGAACAAAGGCACUUUGAUAAAUAUAUCUUUUUUCUCUGAGAAUAACAACCGGGACAUACGUUUUGCAGUCCGGCUCAUAGCCCUUCUCAACAAAGUUUGUCUUCGGGGGAUCUUCUUCCGGAGAUGAUGGAGAGCGAAACGCCCCCUCCUGCCUCCCCGCCUCGUGGGGCAGACGACCCCGAAGUGCCAUCACGGAGAGUUUCUCCUGAUCCGCAAAGGCCAGAAGGUAACUCUUCGGCCGCCCGAAGUUCGGGGUUCUCGGCUCUAAGGAGACCAACAAAAAAGGCCCGGGACUAUCCGGUAUACAACCGGACACAUUGACAAGUCUUUUGGAGCAAGCAGCUAUCUCAGAGGCACAUCGUACCUUGAUGGGUACGGUGGUUGAAAGGAUUUCAUCCGUCAAAAGCGGGUUAAAUGAAGCUUUUACGAGCCUGCUAAGAGGCUUUGAGGUACGCAAAGUAUUAUAUAUAUUUUUGACUCUACCGUACACGCUAGGUAUGCCCUGUAUAGACAGUAGCCCUGAGACUCUAUUUGCCGACCAGAGGCGGCAAACAGAGGAUCAUAAUCCCAGGUAAUGAUCGCACUGCUUUCAUGUGCAGGCGGCUGAGGGUCCGGCGGCUGACCGGACCGCUGAUUUUGCCGAACUGAGGCGGCAGCUUGAUGCGGCGGAUGCCGACAUCGCGUUGUGAACAAGCGGCUUGACGAGGCACAGGGUAUGUAUUUUCGGGUGGUCAGCAAAUAUUAAGAGGAGCAUGAUGCUAGUAUCUAUAAUAUGCUUUGACUGCAGACAGAGCUGCCGCCGUGGAGACCCUUCGGGCAGAACUUGCUCGAGCCAAGGAACAAGCCAGAAGAAGUGAUGCGGCCGCCCUGAAGGCAGUCGAAGAGUUAAAAGCUGAACAGGCUGCUCAUCGCCAGAGCGAAGAGAAAAUAGCCAACAUGGCUCUUGAGCUGCAAAAUGCCGCCAGCCGCUAUGAGCUCCUCGAAAGGGAAAGUCAGGCGAAAGCGGCUGACUUGGAGAAGGCCUUGGAAGCAGCCAAGGAAACGCGCUCUGGAAUCAGAGCGGCGCGGGAGGAGCUUCGCCAAGCCGGAGAUAUCACGGCUGGGAAGCCCUUCCUAUUGCAGAUGAAGUUCGGCGAUCCGAAGUAUGCCCCUCUAGAUAAAUUAUGGAGUGCUGCGGACGCAUACCUGGACUUAGCAAAGAGUGCUGCUGAUGCGACUGAGUAUUUCAAAGAUCAGAAGGAUCAUGAGGUGGAGAGGUUGUUCUGGUCAUAGUUCAGUGCUCCAAAGCGUCCGCUGCUGUUAAAUGAACAAAUGGCCGAGUGGGCCGAGCUCCAUAGGUUGUCCGAGCUUGCCAUGAGGUCUGUCGUGGAUCAUCUUUGGCCGAAGGAACCAAGUCCGGAAAGUUAUUUUGGGUUAGUGCAACGAUUUGUUCGUGCUGUGUCGCAUAUCGACGCUAUAAAGAGGUCGGCGUGCAUAGAGGGUGCGUGGAUGGCUCUUGCCCGUGUGAAGACAUACUGGGCAGAUAUGGAGGCCACCGCCAUUGCAACCAGGGGUCCGACCGGAGGCCAGGACUCGCCCGAGCACUAUUUUGAAGAAGUCCUAGAAGGCGCCCGUUUAAUAGAGGCUCAGUGCUCAAAGAGUGCCAUGUUCCAGUGACAUGUAUCUUGAUUGUAAAACAAUGCUAUUUUGAUUAUAAAGGCUAUUUUUAUACUUUUGCCCGUAAAGUAUUAAGUGCCUCCUGUGCGGCCGUUUAUGUAUAUAUUUAUAUAACCUGAAAGAUUGCAGUUGUCGGCUUCAGCCCCACGCAUAUAAUGCGGGGGUGUUCGGUAAAGCGCAUACUCACACUUGAUCCAACGUCUUGGUCCGUUUGAGGAGGUGAUAGCGCGGCGAACCAGGCAAUCGGACUAUAUAGCUUUAACAAUUUCACUUAGCCAUAGGAGUUUGACGGUGGGGCUACUAUAUAGCCCCUGGUACUUCCGCGUACAUCCGAAUACGGUGCGCGUACGUACAUGACCGGGAAACGGUCCUUCAUUAAUGCGGAGGAACCGCGAAGAUUCCGCUGGGUCAUCGAGUGGUUGACCAGUCUCACGCUUUAUCAUGACAGUCAGUUUUCGGCUUUCUCUACUGAGGUGCUCAUCCAGAUGAACCAGGGCACAAUCACAGUAGUUCUCCCGGUGCCACCUUAGCCGAUAGAGCGGAACGUAAGGUAGCAAAACACGGGAGCCGGGCAAACCCAACUGUUGACCAAAGACAUGAUUCGGUGCUGAUGCAUAUAAGGCCAAACUCGCGACGCCGAACACUCCAUAAGGUAUUCGGACUUUAGAACAUAUACUGGGCUGAGUAACGCCCUCGAUAAUGAGCCCCAAAUUUCUAGGUACAUGCAUUAAUCUGGCGUGACGAGAUGCCAAUAACGCCAAUAUCCCUCUCGGUUGUGUGAAGUAUCUGGAGGGUGUGAAUCAACAAAAGACAUUAAAAAGGUUUACACGGGUCUUAAUCUAAAAAGAAACCUUUGAACGGGGCCCUGCUGUACGUCUGCGCCUUUGUCUUCGUUGUGCCGUAUCCUGGAGGGGUGUAGCACGGUGAUCAUCUAUAAAAAAGAAAAACCCAGGUGAAAGAAUCUGGUGUGAUCGUGCGAAAAGUUGGUUAUUCUUAAUGAACCAUGAAAAUUCAAUCUAUUGUGAAUGAGUAGGGUCGAGCCGAACUAUGGACCCUUUUACGUGCGGACAGCCCCUAGCACCACAUGUGGGGGCGUGUCCGCCGACCGAGCUCAGGUUUAUCUGGGCUGCUACAACUAGUGGUGCGCCGGACACGUCUAACCGCGUCCGUGGUCUUGACGACCAAUAAUUUAUUCGGGUUGAGGAGGCCGUUUAGUGGUUCGGCUAUUAGAGCCGCCACAUGUUCUUCCGCACGUGGAGGCCGCUCUGUGUUUCCACUAAUUGAGAUGACGCCACGUGGACCAGGCAUCUUGAGUUUACGAUAAGCGUAAUGCGGAACUGCAUUAAAACGAGCGAAGGCCGUUCUUCCGUGUAGUGUAUGGUAACCGCUUCAGAAUGGAGCGAUGUCGAAGAUUAGUUCUUCAGUUCGAAAGUUGUCGGGAGAACCGAAUACAACCUCUAAUGUUAGAGAGCCCGUACAGCGGGCCUCUGCGCCUGGUAUUACCCCUUUAAAGGUAGUACUGCUUUGGCUAAUUCUUGAUAGGUCUACCCUCAUUUUGCGGACAGUGUCCUGAUAUAUCAGAUUGAGACUACUGCCGCCGUCCAUAAGGACUCGGGUGAGAUGGUAUCCGUUGAUUAUUGAGUCGAGUACCAAGGCGACCGAACCUCCAUGCCAGAUACAAGUCGGAUGAUCCCUGCGAUCGAAAGAGAUCGGGCAGGCCGACCAUGGGUUGAAUUUGGGGGUGACGGGCUCUACAGCGUAUACGCCUCGGAGUGCGCAUUUGUGCCUCCUCUUUGGUAUGUGAGUUGCGUACAUCAUGUUCACUGUUUUGACCUCUGGUGGAAAUUUUUUCUGUCCCCCAGUGUUCGGCUGGCGAGGCUCAUCCUCGUCUUCACUUGGCGUCUCCCUCCCCUUGUGUUCGGCGUUUAGUUUGUCGGCCUGCUUGAACACCCAGCAUUCUCUGUUGGUGUGAUUUGCAGGUUUUUCGGGGGUGCCAUGAAUCUGACAUAAUUUGUCUAGAAUCUUGUUUAGGCUGGACGGUCCAUCUCUGGUGCCUUUAAAUGGCUUCUUCCGCUGACUGGGUCGGGAGCCCCUGAAUCCGGCGUUUACCGCCGUGUUGUCUGGACUGUCCUCAUUGUUUCGACGCUUGUUUUUAUUGCGUCGUGGCCUCCCAUUGCCGUCCCUGACUUCUGAUGUGCCUGGGUCGUUGGUACCACUGCGGGCCAACCAACUGUCUUCGCCCGCGCAAAAGCGGGUCAUAAGGCUUGUAAGGGCUGCCAUUGUCCUUAGUUUUUCCUGGCCGAGGUGUCUGGCCAGCCAUUCGUCCCGGACACUGUGCUUGAAAGCCGCUAAGGCUUCAGCAUCCGGGCAAUCAACAAUUUGGUUCUUUUUAGUGAGGAACCUGUUCCAAAGCUUACGGGCUGACUCUCCGAGCUGUUGGAUUAUGUGACUUAAAUCGUCUGCAUCCAAAGGUCGGACAUAUGUCCCUUGGAAAUUAGCCCUAAAAGCAUCCUCAAGUUCUUCCCAACUUCCAAUUGAGUUUUCAGGGAGGCUUUUUAACCAGUGCCGAGCUGGUCCUUCCAACUUAAGGGGUAAGUAUUUGAUGGCGUGGAGAUCGUCUCCACGAGCCAUGUGGAUAUGAAGAAUAAAGUCCUCAAUCCAGACUCCAGGGUCUGUCGUUCUGUCGUAUGCCUCUAUGUUUACGGGUUUAAAUCCCUCUGGAAAUUCAUGAUCCAGCACCUCAUCGGUGAAGCACAGGGGGUGCGCAGCACCCCUGUAUUUUGACGUGUCAUGGCAUACUUCCGAAGGUUGUAGUGUUCGGUUUUGAUUCCGAGUUGUUAUUCGAUCAGUAUAAUCGUUUGGGCGGACCUGAUCCUGUGCCGGAGCACGCUUUCUAGAUCCAUAGAUGAACCUGGCCAUACCAGCUUUUUUGUCAAGGUGCUCACGUAGAUCGUGUGCUAACUUGUGUGCGGCGUUGUUAGCCGCUUUGUCUCGGCCACGGGGUGGUCGGUCCGGUCGAUCGGCCAUAUUAUUUUUCGGCGGUAUAGGCUUUACAACCUCAUCGUCGAAUUCAGGCUGAAGCUUGCGCUUUGGGUAGCUCUUGGUGUAGCGAUCGCCGCCGUAUUUUUCUUCAGUGUCGAGCACUUUGUUCCAUCUUCGGUUGAGCGUAUCCUGCGCGGCGUUAAGCCUUUGCUUCUGCUUCUUCAAGCUCCUCGCGGUGGCGAUAAGCCUUUUGCGGAGGUCGUCUUGUUCCAAGCACUUUUCCGGGAUGAUGAAUGCAUCAUCGUCCGGACUGUUCUCCUCUCCGGAGACAGGUUUAUGAGUUUUAUCUUCGCCGUCGCUAUGAUCGGACGGCAGCCCCGGACUAUGUUCGCCGUCCCCUGGCUCAUCCUGCUCCAUCGCUGGGUCCAUGGGGUCGUCGUUUCCUUUGGAGUCGUCCGGGGUAUUAUUUCCUCUUGCGUUGUUAUCGCUGUUUUUACUGUGGCGGGAUUUGGAGCGGCGCCGACGCCGUCGCUUUGGUUGCUUAUCAAGGGGAUUAUCCUCCGUUGCAUCCUUCCGUUCCUCGUCGUCGCUUUCUUUGGGUGUAUCCACCAUGUAUAUAUCAUAUGAUGAGGUGGUUGUCCAGCGCCCUGUGGGUGGUGGUUCCUGUUCUUCUCCGGCAUCGUCGUCCAUACCGUCGAUGUCUUCGGAGUCGAGAUCAAGCGUGUCGGUUAAGUCGUCGACAGUGGCUAUUAAGUGGGUGGUGGGUGGGUAACGAAUUUCUUCGUCGUCCGCUCCCCACUCGAGCCGGACAUAGUUCGGCCCGGAAUCCUCCGACAGGGAGAGAUAUUUCAAUGAAUUUAGCAUGUCGCCCAAGGGUGAGUGCUGAAAGAUGUCCGCGGAGGUAAACUCCAUGAUCGGUGCGCAACCAGAUUCUAUAGGCACGGAUGCACGCGGUUCGGAGCCUGUGGCCGGAGACGAGUCCGAGGGUCCGAAGACGCAGACCUCGUCGGAAGUGAGAUCCGUGUUCGGCUCCAUCGCCGAUAAAUAUGCGGCCUCCGUGGCGGGGUCCAUCCACCCGUCCUCGGAUGGCACGAUCUGCUCCGGAUUGAUAGCCGGGGCAACCGCAGGUGUGAUCUCCCGAACACCGUCCGAUGGCAGAUCUAAGUCAUGCUCAUCGUGACUGUUCGGCGCACUUGCCAUGGGCUCGAAUCCGUCGAAGAUCAAGUCUCCGCGGAUGUCGGCGGUAUAGUUCAAGCUUCCAAACCUGACCUGAUGGCCGGGGCGUAGCUAUCGAUCUGCUCCAGAUGGCCAAGCGAGUUGGCCCGCAGUACGAAGCCGCCGAAUAUGAAGAUCUGUCCGGGGAGGAAAACCUCACCCUGGAUCGCAUCGUUGCAGAUGAUUGAGGGAGCCAUCAAGCCUUAUCGCGACGACACAGUGGAACUCUCAAUGAAAGCACCAAUGUCGGUGUCAAAAUCGGCGGAUCUCGGGUAGGGGUCCCGAACUGUGUGUCUAAGGCUAAUGGUAAUAGGAGGCGGGGGACACAAUAUUUACCCAGGUUCGGGCCCUCUCAAUGGAGGUAAUACCCUACUUCGUGCUUAAUUGAUCUUGAUGAUGUGAGUAUUACAAGAGUUGAUCUACCACGAGAUCGUAGAGGCUAAACCCUAGAAGCUAGCCUAUGAUUAUGAUUGUUGUUGGUCCUACGGACUAAAUCCUCCGGUUUAUAUAGACACCGGAGGGGGCUAGGGUUACACAGAGUCGGUUACAGAGAAGGAGAUCUACAUAUCCGAAUUGCGAAGCUUGCCUUCCACGCAAAGGAGAGUCCCAUCCGGACAUGGGACGAAGUCUUCAAUCUUGUAUCUUCAUAGUCCACCAGUCCGGCCAAAGUAUAUAGUCCGGCAGUACGAAUACCCCCUAAUCCAGGACUCCCUCAGGUGACACCCUUUUUUCUUAACUUGAAAGGGUGUUGGGUGGAGUGGCUAGUGCAACGUGCGUUCAACCUAUAAAGACCAGGGAUCAAACCCUCUUCUCGCAUUUCCUUUUUUACGAAUAUGCGCAUGUAAAUGGGCCGGCCCAAUACAUUGCGAGGGGAGAAAAAGCUUCAGUGAGAGCUGGUGCUUGUCUCGCUUAAGGCGAUGAAUAGUCGUCGCGCUCAUUGCGUCCAAUAGAGCGCUGACGCACAGGGGCGCCGCAACAGGGCCGACCCAAGCUAGCGAACAACAGUAGACCUUAAAAAAUGUCAGGCUUUGUAAAAAGGGAACCCGGGAUCUCCUGUUGCCGAAGAGGUGCUUCUCUUGAUCAGGGGCGACAGGGCCAACCUCAUGAUCCAUUUUGCAUCCACAUCAUGUGCAUUUUGAGCAAUAAAACAUGGUUAUACACCUAAAAACACAAGUUGACCUAGCGUACGUUGUCCAAAUGCUUGAUUUAUAUUCAUGCCGGCGGCGAUCUUCAUGCAGGAGGAUCUUGGUCAGCAGGAGCAUGAGGAUGCUCAUUAAGCUACCUGCCUUAACUGAUCAAUCUGGGCGCCUCAUUUGGACAGGCCGCGUCAACAUGCAUCAUUCGUGCCUCACCUCAUCUCAGUGCAUGGACAGGGACAACACAUUAUUGUCUCAAUCUGAUCAUUGCUACUUACUGUUACCAACCCAGCAGCUUGUGAAAAGAAAAAAAAAUGAGUAUGCCUUAGGAAUCGAUUGCUCAAGUUUGUUUUUCUCUCGUAGCAAUUCACAGGUCUACCAUGCUUCCGCAUGACUUUCUGUGCUGUGGGAUCUACCAUGCCACCACUAUUGCAUGAUGAAUUAUUACUGCUCCUGUUGUCCUACCACUUCACUUCAUAUGGGAGGGACUUGCAGCAUGAAUUAUUACUGGUAAAGUUGUUGCGCCAUGAAUCCAUGUCACAUGCCCCGCCUGCCACAUCUACUAUUCCUCCUAGUACACUACGUACACAUGUCGAGUGAGAGCAUGGUUAACAGUAUAGCCAGUUGUUGGCUAUAUGGUCUUGCCACGUCAUCUAUAGCCAAAUUUAUAGCCGGCAAGUACAAUAAUUACAUGUAAACAUGUACUAGUUUUUUAUACAUGGCCCAUCUCCCUCUCUCACAACAUGCCUAGGAGCACGUGCUGCAGCCGGCUGUUAAUCCCGCUUCCCUUCUCUCUCUCGUUCAACUCAUCCAAAAUAUAAUAUUUAAAGGCUUACAGCCCUCCUACGUCAUCCUAUUGUACUUGCUCUGAGUGAGUCCUUGUUGUGCUAUUCAUAAACUAGUGGUAUGAGCUGGAACAAACACCCUAGCCUAGCGCAGGCACCACGUACACAAGCUUUUUAUUUACACUUGUAGGUAUAGGUGAAGCACAAGCAUGAGGCUUGCGCAUACCCAAGUGUCCCGUAGCACCAACAAGCCAGCUAUGGAAUGAAUGGCUACCCAACAAGAAAGAAGAGAUGGGCGGAUGUGCAACUGCUGCAUGCCAAGAGGAGAGAAAAAAACAUCUUUUUCCUUUCCCAUUUGGGUGGUUGGUUCAUGGCCACGGGCAGGAUGUGUGUGCACUUCAGUGUCGAUAUGAAUGAACGCUCUUAGCUAGUAAUAAAUUGUUCGUGUUUUCAUGACAAAUUAGGGGGUGCAAAUUAAUUCUUUUUCUCGUAAACAUGGAUGGAUUGGUGCACGGCCAUGAGAAACUGAGCUGAAAAGAGGAUGAUAUGUAGGGACAAACUAAUUGUUUGAGCGAAAAGAGCAAAGCAUGGCAAUGGCACAUAUCCACGAGGAAGAGUAUGGCAAUCGGGUAACGGACUGACUGCGAAAUAGCUUCUGGACUGGCCGUGGACGAGGGAGAAGAGGCUGUCGUUGGGGAAGUAGUGGUAUGAGUGAUCUCCUAACCCAGAAAAAAUGAAGCUUAUUGAGGUCCUUGACAGCAAAAUCAGCUUAUUGACCUCCACCGCUCCACUUGAAUUGGACGACCAUGAUCAAUGAACCCCGGUGGCUGCCGCAUGUAUACUUGCUCAUUUAACACACCAUGAAGAAAAUCAUUCUGAACAUAGUCUUCCUCCAUGAUCCGCUCUCCAUAGUGACACGUCCAAACAUCGAGGACAUGGCCACGCUCGGCUAGCAGGGGUCGUGUAUCAGCUCACCGGUUAUGGGACGGAUGAAGUACAUGCUAUGGUGGCAAGGAUUACUAUUUUUUGCAGAUGAAAAUGGACCACCCCGUACGCAUCAAUUACUAUUAUAGUGGUGAUUAACAAGGACCACUGUCACUCUGUAAGUCAUCGAUAAAUCCGUGGAGAGUAGGUACAUGUGCCAUUGUUUAUGGCACAGGCUUUUAUUUCAAGUGGUGGAGCAGGAUCAUGAAUAUAAAGCUUUUAUUCUCAAGUGGUGGAAUGCAAUUAAUGGAACGGAAACGGAAACGAAUUCAGGCAACACAACACGUAGAGCACGCACUCAAGAAAUUUGUCUGAAUCUUGCGUUGCGUAGAUGCGGGUGGAUAAACUGAAGAAAUGAAAUUGUGCAGGCGGCAGGACACGCUGCAUGCUGCUAAAAAAAGAAAUGAAACCUGUCUGAAUCUUGCGUAGAUGUAGAUGCGGGAGUGUGCCAGUAAUACGUACUUAGAGUACUAUCUAGGGUUCGGGACACGCUGCUGCUAAAGCUAAAGCAGGAGGGAUAGCUCAUCCAUCGCCUGGCCUCCUGUGGCUUGGAUCCACUGCCUGCCUUAACUAAUCAUAAUCAGUCCGGGUGCUUAAUUUGGGCAGGCCCACGUAUACAUAGAUAUCAUUGGCUAGAACCUCCCCGCAUGCUCGUGCACUGAAGCUUCUCCUUUGUAUUUUAUUUCUCUGUCUGAAGAGAAAAGAAGAUCUAGUAAGUACGGAGUAGUACUUGUUUUUUGGUCAUCUAUUAUUCAUCUGGUCCAGUGAUCUUGUGGCUGGCUGGCUGGCUAGAUUUACGGCGCGUCCUCCUCUCUCAAUGUGGGUGCUGUCGCUUGACUGCCUGCUGGCUGCGCUAAAUAAUCGAUGUGGGUGCCUAAUUUGUACAGGCCGCGUCAAUGUCACUCCACUACCCCUUGCUGGACGGACGAGACUUGCCUGCUCCCUUCCAUGCUCCCAUCCGUGCUCCCGCAUACGUGGCUUAAUUUGAUUGGAAAAAAAUAAGGCCUGGCCCCAUCCCCUGAAAAUCAGGGGGGGGAGAUGAUUAGAUUAGAAAAGAAAAAGGGAAAAGAACAGCCGUAGGAUGAAGUGGGAGCACGGAUGGGAGCAUGGAGAGGGAGCAGGCAAGCCGGAUCCUUGCUGGACGGCCGAGACCCUGCAUGCAUGCAUGCAUGCAAGCAUUAUUCACACCACGGUUCAGUACCACAUUCGAUUUUAAUUGCAAAACAUGUCCAUAUCUUUUUAAUGUUAAUUCAGCCAAAGAACAUUAAUUCUAAACUCCAUCCAAACACAUCAGCGGUAAAAUUGCAAUCUACUCCCUCCAUAAAGAAAUAGAAGUGCUUUAUGCACAUGCAUGAACAUUUACUAGAGUAGUAGCAUUUGUCUGAAUUUGUCCGUGACUGUUGCUCAUUACAUGGUACUACAUGCUAUGGUGGCAACAGUUACUAUUUGCAGGUCAAAAAGGACCACUCCGUAUGCAACAAUUACUUAUAUUACUCUAGUAGUGAUUAACACAAGGACCACUGUCAUUCUGCCUGUCAUGGAGGCACACAAGCAUGCAUAGAUAAAAAUGUGUGUGCGAGUACAUGUGCCAUUGUAUCUACGCGCUUGUCCCUAGCUUUUGAAGACUGACAUGGAUGCCCACUGAAGAAACAAAUUAUGCAGGCCGAUCAUCUUCAGCCAGGAUGGGCAUGCGAGGAGUUGAGUGCGUGCAUGGGUUUCUAUUAUACUCCCUCCGUUCCUAAAUAUUUGUCUUUUUUAGAGAUCUCAAAUGGUUACCACAUACGGAUGUAUAUAGACAUAUUUUAGAGUAUAGAUUCACUCAUUUUGCUCCGUAUGUAGUCACUUGUUGAAAUCUCUAGAAAGACAAAUAUUUAGAAACGGAGGGAGUACUAUACUUUCUCCGUUCCUAAAUGUAAGUCUUUGUAAAGAUUCCACUAGAUGGACUACAUACGGAGCAAAAUGAAUGAAUCUAAACUUACAUUUAGGAACGGAGGGAGUAGAUAGAUAGCACUCUCAAGGACAAGAAGAAUAGGGCUCACUUUUUUCUUGCAACAAAUCAGUACUCUAUUUUAACUUUUUAUUUAUUUAUUAUUGUACUUUCUUUUUGCUCAUCUCCUCCGGUGAUCUUGUGCCUGCCAGAGUUUACGCCGUGUCUCGCUGGGGACGUGUCCUCUGGCCGGGAUUCUCUCUUUGUCUGUCGGCCACUCUUGUUUACGAUGGCGCAAGGUUUCAUUACUAUUAUCAACCGAUCUUGCAGCAUCCCGGGCAUGGAAUCUACCGCAAGUUAGCAUGAUUUACUGCUGCUCCCGGGACAUGCUUGCAUUGCAUGGAUCAAUGAAAGAAUUGAGUGGCAAGAUUAGAUGCCUAGCUAGUAAUGGGCCUUGAUCCAGGACAGGAUGCCACAUGGCUGCCAUGGUAGCAGCCUGCCUGGUACUGCCUCCUCCUCCUAGCAGUGGACCGAGAUCCAGUGACGUAACUGGCGGGAAGCCAGCCAUUGGAUGGAGGAUGGGCAGCCCAGAUCGAAUACUGCAGCAAAAAUAUUGUAGACGGUACUGUACGUGAAUCCAUGUAGCUCGUCCCGAAAUUCUGUAGACGGUCACUGUAGCUCAUCCUUGAUCCUUGAUCAGACGGUCUAGAGAGAGAGAGGCCAGGCACCGUACUGUUUGCCGGUGACUUGUCCACAGCGAGUCACCGGAUCUCAGUCCCCUAGCAGUACAGUACGCAUUAACAGCUAGUACUAGACCUAACACUAAUAAACAACAGGCAAGCACAAGCUUUUAUAGACCUGAAGAAAUCUGUGUGCAUCUUGCUGAAGAAAGAAAUGUACCGGUGGAUGCACUCAAAAACUUGUGCAGGCGGUGCCAUCUACUCACUGCACUACUACUCCCUCUGUAAACAAAUUUAAGAGCGUUGAGAUCACUAACUUAUAAAAGUUUAGAGAGGGAGUACUUGCUAAGGUGUGUGCAUCUUUUGUUUGCUUCCUUCCUCGGUUUUCUUAGGUUUUCUCUCCGGUUUUCACUAUUUUCCUAUACACAUGCUCCUUUGGUUUAUAUCUAAUACACCUUUAACAUUUUUCAGAUACAAGAUUAACAUUUACGGUCAACAAUUUCUCUAUACAUAUUUAACAAAUUUCAAAUGCUUAAUUAACAUUUUUCAAAUAGCCAAAUUUUUUUAAUACAUGGUUAAUAUUGUUUUUUCAAAUGCUUGCUUAAUAUUCAUGCCGGCGGUGAUAUUCAUGCAGGAGGAUGUCGGUGAGCAGGAGCGUGAGGAUGCUCAUUAAGUUGCCUGCCUUAACUAAUCAAUCUGGGUGCCUCAUUUGGACAGGCCGCGUCAACAUCAUUCAUGCAUGCAUGGCCCCUCACCUCAUCUCAGUGCGUGGACAAGGACACCACAUUAUUGUCUGAAUCUGAUCAUUGAUUAGUGUUACCAACCCAGCAGCUUGUGAAAAGGAAAAAAAUGAGUAUGCCUGAAGAAUUUAGCAGGUGCAACUUACUCAAGUUCAGGUACCCUGUAUCACUCCUUAGGAAUCGAUUGCUCAAGUUUGUUUUUGUCAGGUCUAGCAUGCUUCCACAUGAACUUUCUGUGCUCUGUGGGAUCUACCACUAUUGCAUGAUGAAUUGUUACUGUUCUUCGUCCUAUUGUCCUACUACACUCCUCCACUUCAUGUGGGAGGGACUUGCAGCAUGAAUUAUUACUGAUAAAGUUGUUGCGCCAUGAAGCCAUGUCACAUGCCCCGCCUGCUACCUCUACUCCACGUACACAAGCGUGCUUUUUUUAACACUUGGAUAGGUGAAGCACAAGCAUGAGGCUUGCGCAUACCAAUGUGUCACGUAGCACCAGCAAACAAAGCCGUCUACGGCUACCCAACAAGAAAGGCAUACUCAUUUUUGCGAGGUUUUGGUUGGAUGGUUCAUGGCCACGGGCAGGAUAUGUGUGCACUUUAGUGUCGAUAUCAAUGAAUACUCGCAGCUACUACCCCAUCUCUUAAAAAAUAUAAGAGCAUUUAGAUCACUAGUUAUAUUUCUUUACGGAUGGAUUAAUAAAUUGUUCACGUUUUCCAGACAAAUUAGGCGGUGCAAAUUAGAUGUUUCCAUGCAUAUCCAAUGUAACAAUCAAUGUUGUUUUUUCCCCAGUCUCGCGAAGAUGCUCAUACAAGUAGAAUGUGCAUGUGUUCGUUUGUACAAACGAGUGUAUAUUUGUAUGUAGCCUCGCACAUAUGCUCAUACGAGUAGAAUGUGCAUGUGUUCGUCUUACAAACGAGUGUAUAUAUGUAUGUGAGCAUCUUCGUCCGUGUUGUCUCAACUGUACUGUGUUUUUGAAAAGAAAAUAGGAGUGCUUUGGCAACGACGUUGGCAUGUAGACGUGUUUGUAGCGGAAGAGGAUUUUGUAUCUUUGUAACUACCUCCAUGGCUCAAUCUGAUGACACAAACUAGUAAGUAAUUAACUACAUGAUGAUCGAUGGUGCAUUUCGAAAUCAAAGCUAGCGAUCUACAGAUCCAACAACUGAUCAAACAAACCAAAUAAAAUCCUAUCUACUAGCUAGCUUAACUGGAGAUCGAGAGGAUCUCAUCCCAAUCAAUCAAUGUAUGUAACCAGCUCGAUCGAUCACUGGAGAUGCUAACCAGACCGGAGUGGUCAGUCCGUCGGCGGCCCCGGCGCGCCCAUGAUGACGGCGUCGGACCAGCGCGCGGGCGAGCGGUCGCUGCUGUUGGACGAGGACAUGGCCUCGGCGCGCGCCUCCCGCACCAUCCGGAGCACCUCGGCCGUGGCCGGCCGCGCGCCCGUGUCCGCGGCCACGCACGCCGCCGCCACGCCCACCAACGCGCCCAGCUUCUCCUCGGCGGGGCCGGCGGCGCCGGACGCGGCCGACUCACCGCCCGACUCCGUGGACAUCUCCUCCUCGCGCGCGGCGCGCACCCAGGCGGCCACCUCGUCGGCACCGCCGCCGCCGCGCUGGUCCAGGAGGUCCGGGAACGGCGCGCGGCCCGUGAGCAGCUCCAGCAGCAGCACGCCGAAGCUGUACACGUCCGAAGCCGCCGUGAAGCACACGUGGGCCAUGGACGAGGAGCGGGUCUCCGGGGCGCGGUAGAGGAGGGAGGCGGAGGAUGCGUCGGCGCCGGCGGCGUGGAGGGCGGGGACGAGGCCGUAGUCGGUGAGGCAGGACUCGAAGUCGGGGCCGAGGAGGACGUUGGAGGGCUUGAGGUUGCCGUGCACGAUGGCUGAGGAGUGGAGGUGGAGCAGGCCGGCGGCGAUGUCCUCGGCGAUCUUCAUGCAGGAGGUCCAGUGCAGCGGCUUGCCCUUGCUCGACGGCCGAGACCCUGCAUUGCACCCAUGCAUGCAUUUCCAACCAUUAUACCACAUUUAAAUCACAAAGCAUGCAUGCUUACUUUUUUUUUAUCAGUUCAGUACUAGAAUAUUUUUAACUUUAUGUAAACAUUAUUUGUACUAAAGUCAGUGUAUAUCUGUCUGAAUUUGUGUGUGACUGUUGCUCAUUACAUGCUGUGGUGGCAACGAUUACUACCAUUUGCAGAUCAAAAAGGACCACUCUGGGUGCAACAAUUACUACUAUAGCGGUGAUUAACAAGGACCACUGUCACUCUGUAUGCAACAAUUACUAUAGUGGUGAUUAACACAAGGACCACUGUCACUCUGUGUGCAACAAUUACUACUAUAGUCGUGAUUAACAAGGACCACUGUGACUCUGUAAGUGAUGGAUAAAUCUGUGGAGAGUAGGUACAUGUGGCAUUGUAUCUUUGCGCUUGUCCCUAGCUAGCUUGCGAAGGCAGACAUGGAUAUGGAUGCGCACUGAGGAAAUGAAUUAUCCACUGUCUCGGGGUCAGGAUAUGUUGGCAUUUGACUGCCUGCAUUAUUUGAGUCUGUAAAUUGCUAGCUAGCAUUACCAAAACAGUACUAGUACCAUAUAUAUUAUGAAAGAACGAAAACACACACACACACACACACACUAGAAUUUGAUUAUGGCCAUUGCUAUGCUAGCUAGCAUUAACAAAAUCAGUAGUGCUAGCAUGUGAAAGAAAGAAAGAAAAAUCAUCACUAGGGGAGUAUGUCUGAAGAAUUUGUUUCUUCAACAGGCACUCUCAAGGACAAGAACAAAAACGCUCCCUUUUUUCUUGCAAUAAGAAAUCCCUACAAAAUCCUGGUGACUCACAUGCAUGCACUGAAGCUUCCUUGUUUUUCUUUUUAUAAUACUAUGAAAGAAAAGAAAUGAGUUUUUGGUUCAAUGAGAGCCAGGAUUCUCUCUCUGUCAGUCGGCCAUUCUUGCAUGAUUUACUGCAUGCUGCUCCAAUGGUCAUAGUAGGUAUAGUAGUGGUAGUAACACUUUCACUUGACGAAUCAAUGAAAGAGUUGAAUGGCUUGAACAUGUGUAUAUAUGCGCUUGUCCCUUACUUGUGAAACAAGGUGUACGUGGUGAAGACACAAAUUGUGCAGGCACGGAGAUCCUAUAUUAUCUACUGUCUUGGAUUCAGAAGAUGUUGGCAUUUGACUGCCUGGCUUCUUUAGCCAAUUCUCCCGGCCGGGAAGAAGAAGAUUUGGACUCUCGGUGUCCCGCGUGAGUGCGUGGACAAGGACAAUUCAUUAUUUCAGAUUUGGCCAUUGAUAGCUAGCAUUACCAAAUCAGCACUACUAUUGGCAUCUGAGUGAAAGAAAAGAAGAAGAAAAAAAUCACUAUGCCUGAAGAAUUUGUUUCUUCAACAGGCAGGCGUGCUUGCCGAUCAUGUGAGCAGAACACCAGGAUGGAUGGGUAUACAACUGUGGGGUUGAGUGCAUGCAUGCACAUGCAUGGGUUUCUAUUGUAUACUCCAUCCGUCCCAAAAUAUAAAUCUUUGGAGAGAGGAGGAAAAUGAGUGAAUCUACACUCUAAAAUGCAUCCACAUACGGUUCAUAGUGAAAUCUUUACAAAGACUUGUAUUUAGAAACGGAGAGAGUAUUCCGUCCCAAAAUAAGUGUCUCAAACUUAGUACUGCUUGGUACAAAAGUUAGUAAAAAAUUGAGAGGACAAGAAAAAAAGGCUGACUAGAUAGCGGGGACAUGGUGCAACCUCCCCACAUGCUCGUGUACCGAACCUUCUUCUUAGACCUUAGUAUUUUGUUUAUCUAUAUGAAGAGAAAAAGAAGUUUCUUUAUUCAGUGAGAUCUGGUAGUACUAGUCGUACUUAUUUUUUGUGUUCAUCUAGUAGUAUUAUUAUUAUUGAUCUCGUCCAGGUCCAGUGAUCUUGUGGCUGGCUAGAUUUACGGCGCGUCCUCCUUCCUGGGGGCGUGUUCAUGUCAGUUGGGACUCACUUAUUCGCAUGGAUCAAUGAAGAAAAAAAGGACACACUGGUUGGCCUAGGGUCUUGCUCCAGGCCACAUGCCUGGCCUGUUACACAUGGUUGAGCAGUUCUUGGGAGAGCAGAGCACUGAAGAUGUAGACAAUUUCUUCAGUUCAUUGAUCCACAUCUUGGCAAGCAAUGGUUGCAUGCAUCGCCCAAAUGCAGAGGCUGGUGGUACAUCCUCCUUUUUUCUAGAAAAAAAAAACAUCUCGGCAAGCUGGGACAAGAGCAUGUAUAUUGGAUUCAAUUUAGGGCACGACGGCUACUCAAUCGACUGGCCUGGCCUGCUGGCUGCGUUAAAUAAUCAAUGUGGGUGCCUAAUUUGUACAGGCCGCGUCAGUGUCACUCAUGCAUCGCAUGGACCCUAACCUCAGUUGAGUGUGUCAUAGGCGAGGACAACAUAGUAUUAUUGUCUCAAGUUGAUCAUUGCUGCUUCGAUCACCAAAUCGGCAGAGCAGCUUGUAUAUGAAUGAAUAAAAGGAAUGCCUGAAUAACUUAGCUAGUAGGGGCACCUCAUCAUCUUCUUCUUCUUCUUUCCCCAUCUUACCCAGGUAGUUUCGAGUUUCAGAGCAAAAUGCACUAGGGCACAAUGCAAUGCAACGAGAUUAACCAGAUCCUUUCCUUGUGUUAGAGCUUCUUUUGUAGUGGUGUCUAAUAAUCUACCGUGGUGAGGGUGUCCACAGAUCUGGCGUCAACAUGAGCCUGGUGUGAUGUGGAAUCUAGCAUGUUGGUUACUCUCGCAUGAAUUACCACUGCUCCUCCUCCUCUAGUGGUGGUGCUAGGUACUACUCCUCCUUGACUUCAUGUCAGGUGAGACUUGCACCAUGAAAUGAAUCCAUGUCACGUGGCUUGGCACCACUCCUAGUACACACGUCCAGCCAUUAUUGUUUAUUCAUUUAUAUGAAUAAAUUGUAAGAGCUGGCUUUUCUAUGUACACUUAUGGUGAGGCAGAGGCACGAGGCUUGCGCAUGCCAAUGUUGUCUUCUACUCUACUCUAGCUACCACCAACAAACAAAGCCAUGGAAUGCAAGGGAAUGCAUGGCAAUGCAAGAGUCCAACAGACUCCAGAGAGUGCGGCGGCCUUGAGUUACUACAAGUGCACGCCAGAUCCAUGCAUGCCUCAGCUACCCAACAAGAAAACAGAGACAUGGUUGGAUGUGCAACUGCUUGCUUUCCCCCGUGAUUUGCCCACUCAAUGCCGUGAGUGAGUGACAGCAAGAAAAAACGUCCCUUUUCUCUUCCCAUUUGGUUCGUUGGUUCGGGCACGGGCAGCAGGGCAGUGUUCAUCACUUCACAUGAAUCAAUCAAUCAAUGCUAGCUAGUACAAACUGUUGGUUUAACUUGCUUAGUCGGUGCAGAUAAGUUAACAGUUCAUCCUAACCAUGGAUCCAUGCAUGGCAACGAGCAAGGAACUGAGCUGAAAAAUGGUUCAAAUGCAGCGCAGCACCAGCAGAUUCUUUCUUUCUUUCAGAGAGAACGGAGCAUGGCAAUGGCGAGAAUGGGGGGACGAGGAGGAACAAGACGACUGAC
rnacentral:lncRNA from 1 species